AAAUUCUUACUUUAAAUUCUACCUUGUUAUUCCAAAUCAAAGUAAUUAUUCAUUUCGGAUUCUAAGGUUUUUUAACAAUACCAACUUAAUUUAUAAAAAAUUUAAAUUAUCAUUUUGGUCCUCAAUUUUUAUAAUAUAAAGUCAUGUUAAUUCUUCUAUCUUCACUAGUCUCUUAGUAUUAAUCAUGUUGUACAACUCACCAAUAUGAUAUCAUUUUCCAUUAUUAUUUUUGCCAAAAUUUUAAAACAACACGAGAUUGUUUCCCUCAAAUUAUGAUGAAAAUUCUUCUUUCAUAUUAGCCUUGAACUCAUUUAUAUUCAUUGCAUUAUCCAUCACAUGUUCUCUUUUUAGGGUUUUGAAUUUCUUUUUAGUGCUUGCUCAAUCUUCAAUUCACAUAAUAUUUCUUUCUCUCCUAAAAACAAUCAAAAUGUCAAAAAUAGUGAUUAGCAAAAUCUCUUGAAAGCAAUGAACAAUGAUAAUAUUAAAAUAUAUCAUCAUCUAAAUGUUUCUUUAGGUGCCUUAGAAUUUUUUAUAUGUUUACAACAAUAACUAUUUUUGGUACUACCAUGUAUCAAACACAUUUUUUGGUAAGGAACUAAUCUCUUUCGGGAUUCGUGUUUGUCUCUCCCAACAAGUGUUGCUCACAUAAAUCGAACCACAACAACUAUUUUGUAAUGACAUAUUGGUAUCUUGAUAUCUACCGAGUAAGCAAUAAUCAGAAUUGGAAAAUGUUUCUGAUGAUCUUGAUAUCUAUUGAGUAACUUUAUAUUACAAUGAGCGUUUCUAAGUAAAAAAUAUGUACAAAAAAAAAUACUCCAAAAUUAAACUUCCAAACUUAAGGCUUCACCUUACAUAACAUGAUUCACAAGUCAAGACUCAAUUUUUUGUACCAAACUUUAUUGCAACAUUAACUAUCAUGUCUAAUGGAAAUGAGUAAGUGAUAUUUCAAAAGAACUUCUCAAAUUAAGCCACAACCAAACAAGAAUAAACACAUAGUUUCGGCAGCAACUGAUUUUCCUAAUCCUAAUCCUAAUCCUAAUCCUAAUCCGACUCAUAUUUCUCUGAAGUGAAUAACAUAUAAAAGUAAAACAUUGAAUUGAGAAGAUAAACUUCAGUUGACAGUAAAAAGAGAGAAAGAUGAAGAAUAAACAAAACUAGUAUUCCAGUAUUCCCAAAUUAGUAAAAUAGCUUUAAACAAACAAAUGAAUGUCCCUCUUAUCUGAUUUAAGCACUCUGUGUGGUUUGAAGAAGCUUAUCAAUCAUGUCUGCUGCUUCUUGCACGGUGGUAAUGGCCUCUGCACUUUCUUCUUCAACACUAAUACCGAAUUCCUCCUCAAGUCCCCAGGGUUUUGUUAAGAGAGAUGGAGAUGGAGGUUACAGUGAGGGAAGCCAUUGAGAAUAAGAGAAGAAGUGUUGAUCUUUAUAGAAACCAACGUUGAGUGUGAGUGAUGAGUUAUUUUCAAUGCUUUUAUCUCAAACCGAUCACAUUUUUUAAAACAUAAAGUCACAAAAAGUAAUACUCUGAUUGACUGCAUAAAGUAUGACAUAAGACAUAUGAUCUCUAUCCAUAUCUUAUAUUCAUUCCAUUCUCCUUUUCUCUUCCCCAAACCUAUCGCUGCAACUUAACUUCAAUAUGGUAGGGGAGGAAAUAACUCAUCAUAAAUAGUUUGGUUGAGUUCCACCACAUUUAUUUUUCUUCUAAAAGAAAUUAUUCAUUUAAUGUUCAAAAUGUAUUAUUAUUAUUAUUAUUAUUAUUAUAAAAAAAUAUCUGAAUAGAUGUUUGGUUUCGGAAAAGGGAAUCAAGUGUUUCUUGAUGCAACAUUUUACUGUCCAAUCAAGAUUAUUGAUAUCACCUAAUGUACAUAGUUUUGGCUCACAAGUCACAACAAUAUACCCUUAAUGGGAAGAGAAAGACUAAGCAGCUUCGGAUCCAUAAUCAUUUUCUCCCUGUCUAAGAACCUUAUUCUAAAAUGAAAGCUAUUUCUAAGCACUCUUGAGCCACUCUUUUAUUAGGGUAUGCACAUAUACACCUUGAAAAAAAUUGUAUAUAUAAUCCAAUCGAGUAUUGGUUCAAGUGAUACAUAUUUGAUUCCUCUUAAAUAAGGUUUCAGGUUUAGUAUUCAUUGAUUUAUACCUGCUAUUGAUUCCAACCAACCCUCCUCCUAUAUCAUAAAGGAUUUAAAUCUGCCACAGCCCACAUGACUAUAAUAUUCCAUAACAGGAUUUGUUGAACAACAUUACGAUAACAGAAUAUAUUGUUAUAAAGUAUUUGGUUAUCCAUAACUACUGGUAUAGUUGGCAAGUCAGCUUUAUUUUUUCGGUUUCCCACGGGUAUCCUCUCACUAUAGGCAAUCUUGUUCGAGCCGGGAAUAUCUACAGGUAUGUGAGGCUAACUCUCAUAGUGGACAUUUUUUCUAUCUACAAGACUCGAACUCGAGACUUUGCUUAAGGGGAAUCAAACAUAUACCACUUGAACCAAUGUCGAUUGCUACCAUUAUUAUUUGGUGUACCUAGCUAGUUAAUUGCUACCAUUUUAAAUAAGACUCAAAUUAUUUUUGGUUCCUUCCUCACACCACCACACUCUUCCAAAUUUGGAAAUGAUAAGUACCUUUUGCUUGUUCAUACAACUACUUUUGUUGGACCAAUAUGAUUAGGUACAACUUUUUUAAUUAAAAAACCAUUUGGUUGGAUGUUUUUGUCUCAGGUAAUAACAACAAAUAGUGAUUCCUAAUGUGAAGGGUAGGGUGAUUUUUUGUAUAAAUAAAGAAUAGAGUGAAAUUUCAGUGUUAUUCAUAUUGUAUCGGUCAUCAAACCGAGUACACUACUCGUAUAGUGGUAUAACGAUUUAACUGAUGGUUCACUAAUUAAACUUGCAUACCGAUAAAAUUAUAUAUACAUAUAUAAUAUAUUAACAUUAAUGUUUAAAAAUCAAUAAAUAAACAUUAAUUUUUUUAUUUUCAUUAAAAAAUAAUUUUAAAUAAAAGUAAGUCAGUAUGACAAGUACGAUUCAAUUGAAAAUAGACCAAUAUAUGACCAAUUUUGUUUAUAUAUACCAGCCAAUAUGAACCGACUUUUACAAGGGGUGAAAUUUAACAAGGUUUUUAAUGUAUAACCAAUGAUAUAAUUUAACUUAUUUAAGGAUAAUUUAUUUUAAGAAUUGAUGUAUGUAUAGUCUUAUGCGUAUAACUAAUUAUGUUUUCUUAAUAUAAAUCAAUUUUUUAGGUAAGUUAAAAAACAAUUUAAUAAAAAUAGAUUAUAGAUUUUUUGAGUCUCACUUAUUGUUACCUGGUCGUUUCAUUCCCCCACCAUUUUGAAUAAUAGACAUAAAAAGGAAAAAAGAUUGAAAUAAAAGGUUUCUACUUUUAAAAUGAUAGGCUUUUCAUAUCUCCUUUUCCUUUUAUUUUUAUCUAAAUGUUAUCAGAAAGGGGAAAAGGAGAAAAAAAGUGCUGCCAAUUUUCCUUCCUUUCUGUUUCCCGCGUUUUCCCCUUUGCAUUGAACAAUAGCUUUUUUUGGAAGAUAUAUAAAAAAGUUAUUCAAUUUGAGAUUAAAUAUUCUCUUAUAUCUUUUCUUGUAUCACCUUUUACUUUCACUAGGUUCAUUAUUGGACAUGAUAUAUAUAAACAAAAACCCUUUAAUUCUCCAUAGAUACAUUAUUUUCUCAUGAAUCACAUCCCAAUAAUAAUGUAUUAAUUUUCUAAUUUUUAAUAUGUAUAUAUAUAUAUAUAUAUAUAUAGAAUUAUGCAUCUCCUGCUGUGGAUAUAAGUUAUUUUUUUCAUUUUAGUCUCUCAUAUUUUUCGAUCUUACCAGUUUAGUUAUUCAAAAAAGAAAAGACCUAAAAUGGUCCCAAAUGUUUUAAAUAUAUGUCAAAUUAAUUCAUACCAAAUUUUAUAAAACAUGCUAAAAAUAACUAAUUUAACUCACAUUUAAAAUGUUUGAUACUAUUUUUUUUAAUGAAGUAAAUUGGAUCGAAAAAAAGGAGAAAAUAAAAUAUAUAUUUAAUGAUAAAUUUUCUAUUUCUUUCCCUUACAUUUGACUCCUUCUUUCUUUCUCUCCCAUUUCUAUUUUCCUUCUCUUUCACUCUUCCUUUUUCUUCUUGUUAUUGGUGUUGUUCACACACAAACACUGUUGAGAUCAUCAUGAAUACAGAGCUUCUUCAAAUCAAUCCUCCUCAACUCAGAUUUAUCUGUAACUUCAACUCUAACUCAUUCAUUAUUCACAAUUAACUUUACCGUUUAUUUUCAUUCUUCAUAAUUGUUUAUUCUUCUUGUUAUAAUCAUCAUAAUACUUCAUUCCUUCCAUGUAGUUGAAUUGAAGAAACAAAGUUCAUGCUUAAUUCAACUCCAAAACAAAGCUCAUCAUUACGUUGCUUUUAAGGUAUUCCCUUUUCUCUCUAUUAUUUAAUCACUCUGCAUAGUUUGUAUCAUAUUUCAAUGAAUCAAAUGUUAUCAUAUGUGACAAUAAUAUUGAUCUGUAACUUGUUAUAAAUAUAUUGACAGGUAAAAACAACUUCACCUAAGAAAUAUUGCGUCAGACCAAACAUAGGAAUCAUCAAGCCAAAGGAUACAUGUGAUUUCACUGGUAAUUUUCCCAUUAUCUCCUUACAUUUUAGUACCUUUGUUCUUUGUAUGGUUAUUCGGCCUUAUGAUUUAGAAGUCGUGAGUUCAAAUUAUGGAAACAGUCUUUCCAUUGGCGUGGGUAAAAUAUGUUUAUGUAUGCCCUCCGGAUACCUCACUCUGUGGGAGCCUCGUGAUUCGUUGAAUGCAUACUGUUGGCUUAUGUUUCUUUGUUGAAACAUGCAUGGAUGCAGUUAUUAUGCAAGCUCAGAAGAUAGCACCACCUGAUUUGAUCUGCAAAGACAAAUUUCUGAUUCAAUGCAUAGGUGUCCCCUUUGGAGCUACAGAAGAUGACAUCACUUCUGAUACGGUGAGCUUACGUUACAUAGCUAUUUUCUCCAUGUUUUCGGAUGUCAUAGAUAGAUGAGAAGGAUUAAGGUUUGCUUCGAUAGUCCAACUCUUAUUUUAAUUUUUUCUCCUGUUUUGAUUGAAUGACUAAAAUUCCUACAGUUUGCAAAAGAUAGCGGAAAGUAUAUCGAGGAAAAGAAACUAAAUGUAGUCCUCAUCACUCCACCAUCAUCUCCGGUUUUGCUUCCAGUAAAUGGAGAUGUGAAGCAGGAGUCAUCCAACGAAAUUCAUCUGCAAAAAGAUAGGGCGCCCAGUGGAGUUGAAAACAUACCUCCCCCUCUUAAAGUGAGUUCCUCCCUUUCCAAUCCUCAACUUCAAUCUCUAUUUCCUUUUCUAAUUGAGGUCCUUCAUUUAUUUUGUGCUUGUCAGUUAUUUGUUAGCCAUGUCCACCCAUAUGUGAAUCAUACAUGUUUAGUUCAACGUGGUGGUUGCAUAGCAUGUCCUGUGCCUUAGCUUAAUAGAUGAUAAUAUCUUUCUCUCUGCCAUUAUGUAUUUCAUUGUAUAGGUUUCCGAGGAAGUCAAAGGUCUCAAAACAGCCCAGGACACGGAGGAGGAUAGAACAGCUGAGGAUAUUGUCGCUAGACAUGCUGAGAAUGUGAGUGACAUGAAGCCUUCAAAUGAUGCCGUGCAAUUAACUUUAGCUAAGGAUUUGGAGGAAUUGAGAUCAAGGCUGGGUAUAAUGGAUUCAAAGCUAAGAGAGGUCAUAGUUCCUGAAUUUAUAUUAAACUUUGUCACAGUAAUUUUUACUUGAAGUUUUCUAGUCCAUCUGCUAGUUAUAGUUUAAUAUAAUUCUCAGAAUGUUUGCUGCCAAAAUAUCUGAACUUGAUUGCACUACAUUUUAAGGGAAUUUGAUAGAGAAAGUGCAUUACAUUUAUUUCAAGCUAUAUACUAUUUGAUUACUCAUGAGUCAUGACUUUACUGGUUUUAUUUAAAAAAGGCCAAGAUGAUAUCAUCAUACCAUACUGUUUUAGUUAUAAUCAGUAAAACAGAAAAGAUGAACUAUUGUCAACUCUGACAUCUUCAGUAGCAUUGAAGUUAACAUUUUUUGUUUGUGUCUUUUACAUUGCCUAGUGCAUAAAAGAUUGUAAUAUGCUAAUAUGUUCAUGCUUUACAAAUAUUUUAUCUCAGCUUAGGAUCCAAUACCUGGUGUCAGUUGCUUAGGUUGCAAUUUUGUCAUUUUUUUCUUUUUUACUUUGAAUUGGAAGCAAUCAAUGUAUGGUUAUAUUUUUGCAGGCCGAGGUAACUAUCAUGAAGCUGAAUGAGGAGAGGCGAACAAACACCCAAGAAAAGGAUUUGCUUAAGAAAGAGUUGGUAAGUUUUACUUUUCUGGUAUAUCCAUCGUCACUCAUAAAGUCACAAGUCCAAAAACUGUAUGCAUUCUGUUUUUCAUAUUCAGUAGUGCCUUUUGCAAGGUGGAUGGGAACAGUUGGUUGAGGUAAUACAAAUGAGAAUAGUUGAAAGUGGGUGGGGGGCAGAAAGCCAGUAGGUUUGUAGCCUUUUAUUAUGGUAUUUGGUUCAUAUUUUACCCGACUUACACAAUUUCGCUUGCCCAAGUUCGAAGGAAGAUAAACUAAAAGGUGAGCAGCUCUGGUCAAUGCAUCCACAAAAGGUGCUUAAGCUAUCAAAAGUUAAUUUUUUAGGAUUUAAACUUUAUAAAACGUCGCUGUAACCCUCUCCAACACCUUCCAUUUUUUGCAAACUGUAAAGCAAUCAACUUUCUAGGAACUAUUAUAUGUUAUCUUAUUAACAAGUUUUUUAUCCCUUUAAAUGCAAUGAAGAUUCAUAUUUUUCCAUGUCUGUACUUUAAUUGCCACAUGCUCUUUAUUCAGAUGAUGGUAGAAGUUAUCUGGUUGGCAUUACAAACCAAAAGGGGAGGUUUAUGAUGAAGAUAUCAUCUCUCUGUUUCUGGAAUGCAAUUAUGUUUUAAGCUAUUAUCCAUUUUUGAUAUGCUGCUUGACAAUUUUCAAUAUUUGAAAUAAUUCUUCUCCAUAUUUUGUCAGGAGGUGUUGAAGAGGAAAAUGGAUGCCAAAAGAGGUCAGUCUGGCUUCCCAUUACUGUUUGUUUGCAUGGUUGCUCUUGUCGGUGUGGUAGCCGGAUACUAUAUUCAUCCAUAGGGGAGAACAUAUAAUGUGCAUAAUAGAGGAUGUUCUCAAAUCAUGGAUUUCUCUGUAAUGAUUAGAUAGAGGAUGAUCACUGUUUAUUACCAUAGUUUUACAUGACAAAUGUUAAUGUGAUAUGGGGGUGGAAAUCUUUGUGAAAUGCUUUUAGAGUGAAAGUGCGCCUUCAAUAGAGGCAUAAUAAUAAGCAGUCUUUUGAUAUUUUCAGCAGAAGUUACUACUUACAAGCAUGUUUAUUGACUUUGGUAAGAAAUGUUUUCCCUUAAUAGAGGGAGAGAAGGAGAGUUGGUUGGGGAGAUCACUAGAAGGACAUUGGUCUAACAACUUAGGUCGGAUAAAGAUCACUUGUCCCAACUCCUGUCCGGAUUUAAUAAAAAAGUGACACUUAAUUAAAAUGAAAUUUUCUAAAAACAUAAAAUAACAUAUUUACCUUAUUUGGAGAAAGCUCAUUGGCUAGGGACAUAGGGACAUACUCAUUUUGGGACAGGUGAUCCCUAUUCAACCUAAGUUACACGGAUGAGGAUCACCUGUCCCAGCUUGGUGUCACCGUUUCUGUCCCGUUCCACUUAUACCUAGACAUGUGAAAUUAAUAUAUUAUUUUAAUAAAAUAAAAAUAAAAUAAGGUGUUAUUUUUGACUUGUUGGCAAACAUUGAUUGGUCUGGGACAUAUGACAAGAACUUUUAUGGGACAGAGGAUUCCGAUCCAGGUUAUACAUACAUUAGCUAUCACUUGGCAAAAUGCUUGUGAAUCCAGUGAUAAGUUUUACAAAAUUAAAAUUAAAAAACUCACAAAAUUCUCCUUUUAACAAGGAAUACAAUCAAACCUUAAAAACUGUAAACUGUCAAAGACUGAAGGCCUUUUCACAUAUUCAGAAUUGAUACUCAUGCCACACCCACAUCACUUCUAUUCCACCUUGGAAUAUAAGAUAUUUGAUAUCCACUUACUCAUUAAUUUUAAAUAUAUAAAGUAUUUAUCCUCGAGUGUCUGCUAACAAAACAAGCCAACAAUAUCAAUUUUAAAAUAUAAACAUGAUUCAAAUGAUAUUUAUUUUUAUUACUUCCUCCCUUUCAUUUUUUAUAUAUUUAAACUCACAUACAUAUUUUAAAAAUCAUUAAAUGAUAUAAGAAUUUAAUAUAAUUUAAUUAUUUCUUAAUAUGUAAUGAAAAAAUAAUAAUAAAUAAUGCUCUGAUUAUUGUUGGUAAUAAAUAAACUAUUUAUUCAUAAUGUCUACUUCUCAUAAAUAUAAGAAUUUAAAACCAUUAAUAUCAUUUUAUUGUCAAUAAAAAUCCUACUUAUGGUGGAUUUUGUCCCCAUAAGAUUUAUGAUUAAUUUGAAGGACAAUAUUUGAUCACAAAAUCAAAUCAUUCUUAUUUGAUUUUAACAUUAUCGCAUAUAAUUCAAAAUUUUGAAAUUUAAAUAAGAAUUAAUUAAAACAAAUUUGCAUUAUUAUUAUUUUUUGGGACUCUUAAAAAAUAUUAUUUUUAAAUAGAAAAUGGCUAAAAAUAAUAAUUUUAUUUUUAUGUGUUAUUUUUUGAAAAUGUCUUUCUGGCAGUAUAAAAUUGAGUGUUUACAGCAUCGCAUUCUAAUUUUCGGCUACACGAUCUUAUUAGAGUUACCACUACAUUUUUCAAUGUAAAAAAAUCUUUUGGCUCAAUCACAUUGGGCCUUGAACUUUGAUAUCCAAGUUUGGGAAUCGAAUAUAGACUAGAGAAUAUAUUAGCACCCUAGCUACCCAUUUGAACGAUACUUUUGCUAUACUGCAUGAAUUAUUAAUUGUAUCAUUAUCAUAUUUUUACCAAAAAAUAAAAUAAAAUAUUUUAUUAUUGUGUCUGACUGAUCUUGCUCCUACGUUGAAAAUAAACAAUGACAAAUAAUUAAAAAAAAAAAAAAACCUUCUACUUCGUUUAAUAAUGCUAUUAUAUCAUCCUAAUUAUUACCUAAUCAGUUAAUAGGUUAAUCAUAUCUCACAAACUCUACAUAACAAGUAGGUAAUAAAAACUAUAUAUUUUAUGUGGGUCCACGAAAAUAGGCAUAAGAUGACGUGUAUUCAUUACCACACGCCACGUAAAUAAGACUUUUUACUUGAAACACAACCUCUUCUUCUUCUCAUCUAUGAUUCUAUUCAUAAAUUGAUUCCUUGUGAAAUAAGUGUGUUGAGUGAUAUAAAAAAAAAUGACAUAUUAUUGUAUGAUGAAUUCUCUUCCUGAAGAUGUUGCUAUCAAAAUUGUUUCGUUGCUUCAUGUUCGUGAUUUGUGUUCCUUCAGUUGUUGUUCCACUUUCUCAAGACAACUCUCUUUCUCUGAUUCCAUUUGGGAAUCUCUCUUCACAAAUCGAUGGCCUUUAUUCUCUUCUUCCACUUCAAAUGAUUUUCCUAAUUACAAGGUAUGAUCAAAGUUUGUUACUUUUUUAUUUUUCGUUUCAAUUCAGAACGUGGGUACUGAUCAAAACCCUAAAUUUAUUCCUAUUUUCUUUAUUGUUAAAUUAUUGUUGUUGUUGUGGUUAUGAUAUUCUUGCAAUUGAUUUGGCUUUCAAUUGGUUCUGUCUAUUGAUAUCAAUGGCACAGAGAGUAAUUUGAUCCAUAUCUAGUUUGCACCUAAGUUAUUUGAUGAAAUGCUUAAGUGGUUGAACUUUUCAAUGAUUUCGCCUUGUUGUUGAGGGCAAUUCUAUAUGCACUGAAAAAUAGUGUGGAUAGUCAGAUGGAUGGACCAAUCAUCUGGUGUGAGCAAUGGUUUUUCGGGUGUUGAUAUAAUUGCUCUGUUGUUGAAGACUGAACAUUUAUUUGAGUCAUGCACUUCGACCAAUUCGGGUUACAUAAAUGAGUUUUCGCCAAAUUAAAAACCUUGGUGACAAGAGGAUAUUUUGCUUGGUCUCUAUUGACAUGUUAGAUAGAUAUUGGGCAGAUUUUUAGUAGUGUUACUGCUAUGUAAUGUUAAUUGUUUGGAAAUUGGUUACAGAAUUGGAGGAAAUUGUACUUGAAGAGGCACAUCGAAUUGGGAGUUAGAGCAAGAUCUGUUGAGAAGUUCGUGGAAGCCUCUUCACGUUCUGAAUCACUUGAGGUCAGGGACUACCUGAGUGCUGUUGAAUCCUUGAUUGGUGCAAAGUUUGGUUUUGAAGAUGUCCAGAAGUUCCUUUUCAAUCCUAAAAUGAAUGUGCUGCUUAACUUGGUUGGCGUGCACUAUUGCCUCACAUGCCUUGGAACUCAGGUAUUCCCAUGUUUUUUUGCUUCCUUAUUGUGAUAUGUUAGUUACAUUUCUAGCUAGAUGGAGCUUCUGUUUGAAAUCGCCCAUAUUUUGGGUCCUCCCAAAAAGUAUUUGUUUGCGGUAGUAUAAUUUAGUGUUGCUUAAGGAUAAUUGGAAUAAUCAUAGUGCGUAAAUUCUACCAAGAUGUUUAUGCAUGCUAGAAUUAACUUUAAUAUUUUGUGAAAAUGCAGUUAGAAAUUGUGAUUGCCAUUUGGAAUAGGAUUUGGCACUUUCAAACCUUGAAUCCAAACAGCUGCUAAAUUGUGUUUAACCAAUUUCAUUCGAUUUUAUCUCAGUCUAAGCUAAACAUGUGUGCAAAACACUCUAUGUGUUCAUUUGACUACAUUUAAUCAUGGAAGUCACAUAUUUCCUUCCAUGUUUCAACUUUUUCAUAGCUAUUUGUAAUCUUUUCUCUAUCAAAUAAAAUGACAUUUGGGUAGUUUUAUGUAGCUUAAUACUAUUGUGCUAAGCUUAAGAACAAUGGUUAGAGUAAAUCUAUGUUUAAAAUUUCUUAUCUUUUUUAUUGAAAACAAUAUGACGUGCCAUCCUGCAGCACCUAAUAAUUUCUGUCAUUUUCUCUUGGGCGAUCUGAAAGAGAAGCUCUAUUUAGUUAAAAAUGCAAUUAAAAUGUCGAGCUAUAUGAUUUAUGAUAAAACAUUACGAUGACAUUCUAUCCAUGUAACUGACUUCACCUAAUUGGACUAAGGCAUGGUUGUUAUUGUAUGUUUUCUUUUCCUUUGAAUCUCAUUCAUAUCCUUUAUUUUUUUAUUUUUCCUUGGACAAAUAAAGCAAGCAAGGUUGAACCAUGAUCUGUAAUGUUUACUUUGACAAUAGUUGAAAUUAAACUGAAGCAUGUGUGUAUUGGCAGGGUGAUAAUCUGAUAGAAGUCCUUCGUGCUUGUCAGAUAUCAGAUCGGCAUGUAUGUGUGAAGUGGUGGAAAGUUGGGAGAUGGUUCUAUGGAUACCGAAUGAGGGACGAGUCACAUUCUCGUUUUGUUUCUUUGGCAGAUUUGGCAACAGAAGAUGAUGAGAAUAUUUUGGGGGUGCUUCGGAGAGGUACAGUUCAUGAGGUUUUACGUGUUCAGAUCUCUGCUGUUGGUCACACAUCUACACCUUGGUACUGCCAGAGACAGAGUGAGUGAGUGAGUGCUGAAGGAGAUCAAUAAUAAGUAUGUGUUGUAUUAGUAUAUGUGUGUAUAUAGUGCAUAUUUCUAAAACUGUUGUAAUGAUACAUGUAUAGUAUGGCAUAAAAAAAGGAGAAUAAUACAAGUCAAACUCUUUGUAAACUAAUUACAUUUGAACUAUGCUUACAUUCUUGCAAAUGCAACUAUGCAAAACAUGAAUUUGUGAAAGGCAGGUAAUGUGUGCCACUAUUGUUUCUGUUUUUUGCUUUUUAGCUUUCUUCAGGAUUUGGUUAGCAGAUUCCCAUGCAUUAAGCAAGCAUAUACCACUUUGUUUAUCACUGUUAAUCAUAUUCAUAUUAACUUCUUUUUUUUGGGAGCAUAAUAGUUACAAAGCAUCUAUGACACCAAUAGAAUGUAUAACACAAGGUGGUGCUUGAGGGAUAAGUACAACAGUCAUUUACAAAAAGUCCACACCUUUGAAACAACAUUGACAAAUAACAACACAAAAGUCAUUCACACAUAUAAUAAUACUGUAAACAAUGUGACUAUGAAGUAUGAACUAUGUGAGCACUGCAGAAUGAUCCUCCAUGUUCUAUCCAUCUUCUACUUGGGGAUUCUACUGUGAAUGCUAUAAGCUGAAAGCCAAAUGAGCAAGACAGUGAUAAUGCUGCCAAACAAAGCCACUGCUAUGGAGCCACCACUAUGUCUACAGAAUUUGUCAUAGACAUUGCAAAUUUUAAGCCAACCCACAUGAUUGUUUCCUUUUAAACCCACAUAUGCCACACCUCCAGCUGUGCCUGUUGCUGAAGCUAUUAUCCCUAAUAUUAUCUGCAUAUAAAGCCAUGGUCACUUCUUACUUUGUUAUGAUGGAUAAAAUGAAUUGUUGAAAAUAAAGGUUAAUUGAUCAAUUACCACAUCAAAGAAGAUAAAGUGGAGGAGCAGCUUAGUUUUGAGGUGUGGCUUAUUGACUACAGAGAGUGAUGCAAGAGUGGUAAUGAUGCUAUAAAGGCCAGAAACAGAUAAUGCAGCCACAAAAUAUCUGCAUGUAUAAUAUCAUUAGUGAGAAAAUUUUCUUUGAAGAGAAAAAAGAAAAAAGUAAGGCAUAAUUGAUGAAUAAACUUACAUGAUAGUUACAAUAAUGGAAGACUUUGGAUCUUUAAAUAAAAAGAUAAGACAAAAUAAAUAUUCAAAGCCUACUAAAUACAAAGGUGGGUUGAAAACUUCAUGCAAGUUCUUCAGUAAAAACCAUCAACUUUUCCCUCUUGGAAGCUCCUUAUAUAUUAAUACUAUAAAGCUAAAUCCUACAUAUAUGAAAUAAUUCAUAAAACCCAUCUAAUUGCUGAAACAUUGAGAAUCAACUGUUUCUUUUUUCUUCACAUAAAAAAAGUUGGCAACCUUUAUUUGUCUUGCAAUUUCACUAGCUGGAAGAAGAAUCACAAAAUAUGUAGACCAUUGCCUGGAACAGUUAUAUAAUUCUAUACUCCUACAUCACUAAUUACAUCUUCAAAAUCAAAAUAAGUUCAAGAUUUUUCUUUCAAGUAAAAGUUAGUAAGCCUAAUAUUCAAGUCAUUUUUUCAUAUUUGAAAUCAUAUAUCUCAGAUAACUAGUAUAUACAUGCAUAUAGCUAUGAACAUUUAGUAAAUCAGCUAAGAAUUUGAACAAAUAACUUUGAACUUACACAAAAGCUGGUGAAUAUCUGAACUUGGCUGGCUGUGGAACAGGUAUACCUUGGUAAAGCACUAGUUCUGUUUGAUUACCAGUAACCAUUACCACUACUGCUACUAAUGAUGCUGCAAACAACAGAAACCUGAGUAUCACAUCAAAUUUAAAGUAAUCAACACCUUCAGAAGCUGAAGGAGUUGAAGAUGAUUUGUAUUCAGGGUCACUAGGCUUAUCUAUAGAAGCCAUGUAUUGCUGCUAUGCUAUGCAAGGUUACAAUGGCAGGUACUAGUAUAUGACUUAGUGGUAGAGGAUAAGGAUUGUUGAACAAUGAUUUUUGUGCAAAUAUAUAUAGAUUUUGGAUGCCCAAUGAACUAGAAAGGUGUAAAAACAAAUAGAUUUGAACAUUUGAUUUUUUGCUGGUGUGUAUGUGAGAAGCCACAAGCUAAAAGUCUACAUUUUAUGUUAGAAUAUUUCAUAUGUUCAUACUAAGGUUUACACGACAUGUAUAAGAAUAUUAUUGGAUAUGCUUAAUUUCAAAGUUCAAAUAAAAUAUAUUAUGGAUUACUAGCUUAACAUAUAACUAGGUUGUUGUAAUCUUGGAUUCUGAUUAUAACUGUUCUGGUUCUUAAAGUUGUUUCUUGUAGAACAAGACUCUUCUGGUUGAAGAAAGAUUAUUAUUCAUUACAUUAUUGAGACUAACUUAAUCCAGAAAGUUAGAAACUUAAUAAAUAAUGUGAGUAUAUGAGAGAAACCUAAUAAAUCCUCCACCUAAGUUGAGAUUGAAAUAAAAAUUAUUUUCAAACUAAACCAAGUUUUAUGGAAUCAAGUCAUCAUUUCAACGAUUUACAAAUGCAGCAACAGAAAAGUUACGUGUUGCAAAAUUCAAUUGAUAUCUAGUAAUCAUAUACAUCCAAUGAAUUGCGUGUGGCAGAUCCACAUUCUAGAAGGGUUAUCUUCUACCCCUUCUAGUGAAGUGACUCCACUUCACCUAUAAAGUUGAAGGUUCUUGUUUGUUGUUUUGGGCUAUUCAAAAUUUAGUCGAAUUUGAUUAAACAUGAUAACCCAAAAUAUCUGAUGAUUAGAUCAUUAGUCCAAAGUAUAUUAAAAAAUAAUGAUUACAUGAAAAGUUGGUAAGAUGUUUAUGCAUUAUGCAAAAACAUGAUAUUCAUAAAUACGUUAUUUACAUAUUUCCACCCAUUUGUUAAUUAUAAUAUAUAUAUAUAUAUAUAUAUAUAUAUGACAUUAUGAUAUGAUCAAUAUGAUAUGAUUGAGUCUAAUAUGAGAUUUAAUUGGUUAAAGCGUGUAGGAACCUCUUCAAGUAUAUGAUGUCUGAUUUGAGUAUGGUUAUAUUGUUUUAGAGGGUUAAAACAUGACAAUUGCGGAAAAAUUUGCAUUUUUUUAAUUUAUAGAAUUUUUUUAAAUAUAUUAAUAUUAUUAUAAAUAAAGUUUAUUAAAUAUAAAUUAAAAUUUUAUAUAAUAUAAAUAUAAAAUUUAUUACUAAUCAUAAUAAUAUAUUUAAUUUUCAAGAGAUACUAAGAAUACUAUGGAAGUUGGAAAUACCAAGUUAUUAAUUAAAAUAGAGCAAAAACUAAUCUAAGUUAUUUUUGUAGUCCAUUAUCAACUAUAAAUAACAACUUGAGUGAUGAAGUCAUUUUCAAGUACUCAUCUAAGGUAUCAAAGUUAAUUUUUAGUAUGCUCGAUUUAACCCAACUCAAAUAUUCCAAGUCACCCCAUAGCUUUUCCUAACAUCUUUUAUAUUUUUAUUAAUCAAUAAUAGAAAAAAAUCAUAAAUAAUUUUGUGAAGGGUUGUGAAUAAAAAAAUUAAAUCAAGGUUUAUCAAGUGAGUAAAAAUUUAAGCAAUAUAUGAAAGAAUUAUGUGAGUUCAAAUAAUCUCUUUAUUAUUGUAGAAGCUGAAAAGGAUAUAAGAUUAUACAAUUCCAUUUUUUGCACUUAAUUUAUAUAUAUUCAUUAUACUCAAUAUCAUAACACACAGGAGAGUUGGGUGUAAUUAAUGACCUCCCAUUUUUGAAAAUAAUAAUUGGUAUAAUUAAACUAAUUGUUAUAAGUGUAAUUUCCUCUAUUUUGGAAUGUAAUUAAUAUGAAUGAAGAUUAUCGAUUUCCAAUGAUGUUUCAUUCUCUGCUCAAGCCAAACAUGUAUUAACAUGUAGAUAAAAUAAAAAAUUUAAAAAUAAAAAGUAAUAAAAUAGAGUAUUCUGGUUAGCUUCAGACAUGAAAUGAGACACCAUUUAUGACACGUGAUCUCCGUCACUUUAAUACGGGGUCAAUUUAUGUCAUACAUAUGUGACAUGUAUAUUAGUCCACGUCAGUUGAAGCUUGAAAGGCUUGAAUAAGACUAUUGACAAAGUCUCAUAUUUAUAUCUAUAAAUAAUCAUUUAGUGGAUAAGGAUUAUGAUCACUUUGAUUUAUUUCAACCAUCCAGAUAGACAAGAAGCUUGACCAGGAACCUUUUCAAUUUGCUCAAUAAUAUAAGGGAUUGAAUUAUGUAUACAUUCAUAAUGUAAGUGUUUUUUAUAUUAUUAACAAAUUUUCAUUAUUCAUAUAUUAACUAUCAUUCAUUUUCAAACAAAAAUAUUACAAAUCAAUGAUGAAUAAUUACUAAUAGUGUAAAUUCUUUUACAUUCAAUACAUAAAUUUUAAACUCUAAUGUAAUCCCGAUUAAAUGGCACUAAAAGAGAGAAAGGUUAUUUAAUAUGCAACUAGAUUCACAAUCGCUUUCUUCACUUUCUUCACCUCCAAGUAAUCAAAUGUUAUAGGAGCAGUAGAUAUAAGAUUAAUUCAUGUUACUAUCUUUCGGACUUUUAUAUAUACUUGUAUUUCAUAUCUUUAUAUAUAUAUAUAUAUAUAAAAACUUGAUAUACUUUAUUAAAAUAUGUUCUUGUUCAUACUGAAGUACUACUCAUCUGGUUUUAAUCAUAAAGAUAAAACAUAUCAUAUUUUGGGUCUUAAAUAUAAGCAAAAUUAACUAUUUUUACAUAUUUCUAAUAUCACUUUUAAUUGAGACCAUUACUCAUAUACCACAUGCUCAAUAAUAAUUGGAAUCAUUUGUACCUUUUUAUCAAAUAAAAAUUCAAAAUACUAAUAGUAUAAACUAAUAAAAGAGUACUGAGUUUGUAGCUAAAUUAUUGGAGUUAGACACAUGUGGGUAUUUACGUGAACAAAUUGGUGGAAAGUGGGGUCAAAUUAUUAAGGCAUGAAGGACCCAACUCAAUGAUGAGCCUAAUAAGUAAUAAGGGAUAUGAGGUAUACUUAAGGUAAUGUAAAUCUAUCUUGACUUUAAAAUCUAUGUAUAAAGUUUUUUACACUGUUGGUACAUUAUAUAUCUAUUUAUUGAAUAUUUUUUUGUUUAGAAUCAAUAAUUAUUAACAUAUAAUUAAUGGAUGGUUUUUUAUAGUAUAAAAAACACUUACACUGUUAAUAUUUAAUCGAUUUGUCUUUGUGUAAGGAAUGAAAUGGAAUGGUAGUUGGCAAGCAACAAUGUACAGUUGCAUGUGAGGGCCAUAAAUGCUUGGUGAUGAUAAGUGUGUAGAACCAAAAAGCUUAAUUAUUCAAUAUUUGCAUUUAUUGAAUAUAAGAACCAGAUCUAAGACAGUUAUGUUAUUAUAAGCCACCAAUAUUGUGUAGCUCAACCAAUGCAUAUUCUGCCAUGCAAUCCAUUUUGACUUCAAACUUGCAAGUUCACACUUAUAACAGACAAAACAAUGUUUCAUUCUGAAGUGUGUUUAAAGUCUUGUUUCUUAGUAACUAGAAAAUAAAAAAAAAUAGCAUUAGGAGGUUUCUGUUUAAACAUAUCAUCAUAAUCUAUGAGAGACCAAAAAACACAUAUAAACAUCCAAUUUUUUAAAAAUGUUAAAAUAUUUCAUUAGACACAUAUUUGGAAAAAAGAUAGAGAACAUCUUUGUAAAAGGAUACGAAUGAAUGUAAUAAAAUUACAAUUUUUUUUUUGAUAAAUAAAAUUGCAUUAAAGGAGCACAAGGGGUGCCCACCCAAUAAAAGAAAGAAACCAAUUACAACUUGGUUACAUUUAGCGAUAAGCAAAGUUUAGGAUCCAAACACCAAUUAGCGAACGACAAUGAAUUAUGAGAAACAAAAGAGAUAAACCAAAUCCACGAUCUAGUUUGAAUUAAAUCCAAUAAGUGCACAUAGCUAGGAGUCUUCUCCUGAAAGAUGACAUCAUUUCUCAUAAUCCACACCGACCAAACGACCGCAAACCAGAGCAUACGCCAUAGCUUUAUACAAGUACCGCUUUUAAGAGUAUCAUGAAGCUUGAAAGAAUCCAUAAUUGUUGAAGGUAUUGUGACAGGAACUUGAAGCCAAGAAUAAAAACAUUUCCAAACACUUGCAACAAAGUCACAAGAUAUAAACAAGUGGUCGAUAGUUUCAAUAUGAUUGUUGCAAAAAGAACAAACUAUAUCUUCCGCCCUCACAAUAAUAUUCCUCUUAAGAAGUUCAGCCUUUGUUGGGAGCCGACCUCUUAAGAGUUUCCAGACAAAACAACAAACAUUUGAAGGUAAACAAUUAAUCCAACAGUUUUUUAGCAAAAUGCCUAAAGAAGAUUGGUUAUCAUUCAUCUGAGCCAAAUAAGCUGUUUUCACCACAUACUCACCCGAUCUAUCAAAUUGUUUAUUUUUUCUUCUUUUUCUUAUUUUACAUUAAAAUUGCACUAUUUUUUAGAGAAAACUUGUAUUGUUUUCUGGGCAUGUUCUAAACUCAUUUUUGGAACAGAGUAAAACAAAUAAGAAACUUAUCAUUUAAAGAACUUAUAAUUGUUUAACUUUCACCUUUCCCACCAGAACUCGAUUUUAGAUAGGUUAAAUCGUUAAAAUAAGUAAUAUUUAUCCCUUAUUCAUUCCUAAAUAUUGAUGAGACCCAAUUUUAAUAAUUUUAGAUUCAACAUAUACAUUUUACGUAGAUAAGCGUGUCAAAUCUAGCUUAAUCUUCAUGCCUAUUAAGUUAUGCACAACCCUUGUAAUUAGUCAUAUGUCAUUGACCUUUAAGAUUGUUUGGAUAAUUUUGGAAGAGAAGAUUGAAGUUUUUCUUUUCUUUUUGGGGAAAGAAUGAAUAAGAGUGAAGGAGACAUUAAUUAAUAUUGUAAGAAAACUCUCAUUUUACAUUAGGGGUUGCUUAUUUAAUUUUCUUUGUAGAGCUCCAAUUUUAUGAAACAUGAGACAACAUGCACAGACAACAACACAAACAUAAUCAGUGAACAUGUCAAGUAACCAUGUGAUGAAAAUGAGACCAUAAGGACCAUAUCCUGCCACAUAUAUCCAAGUUUAUUUCAAGCAACGUGUAGGUUUUGUUGUUGUUGUUGGGUAGAAAGCUACGUGUAGGUUUUGAAAAGAAAGUUCAAAAAAUAAUUUAUCAAUAUGCAUGAAAUUGUCCUAAGAUUUGGUACGAUAGAUAAAGUUGUAAGUAUUAAAUAAUUAAGGGUAAUGAUAAAAGAAAUCAAUAUAUAUUAUAUAAUCAAUCUUUUUAAAGGAGAAAUAUUUUGUGUAAUUUUCUAAUAUUCCAAUUUUAGCACUACCAUUUCUUAUUUACAUCUGAACACUUCCUCAUACGUACAAUGUUAUAUAUCUAAUAAUAUAUACUUAUAUUGAUGAAUUGUGUACAUUUUUAAUUUCAAGUUGUAUAGUUUUUAUUUAUGAAAAUAUUAAUUUAUAAUAUGUUGGGAAAAUUGCUGGUUGAUAAAUAAAAUUUAAGCUUGCUUAAUAACUCAACCACUUGAUUUUGAUAGUUAACUAAUUGGACAGGUUAAUUUCUUAAGCAUUCAUAUCAGUCAUUAAUUUGUUUAUACCUACCCUUUCAUGCUGUCCCACUCUUUGCCUUAAAUGCAUUCCUACAUUAUUAAGUAUCGAAUAUGAUAUUUUUUAUAAUAUAGAAAAGUUUGUAACAUUAUGUUCGAUAUUUUAUUUGAGAAUUUUGUUAUCCUCCUAAUCUAAGGUAUAGGUUAAUCUAACUUAUCUAAUUGUCUUGAGUUGGAAUUCUAAGUAUGCAAUUGAUAUAUAUAUAUAUAUUAAUCAUUAUAUUAUUAAUAUAUAAAUGUAAAAUUGCCCUCGAUAAUUAAUAUAAUAUCAUGUAACAUAUAUAAUAUCACACCUUUCUUUCUAUAUCUCUUUUCUUAUAUUAUAAUAUCAUGUAACAUAUAUUAUUUUCUCUCUUUUUCUUUCACCCGGUAUAUAUAUUUUCUCUCCUUUUCCUUCACCAUGCAUAUAUAAUUUUUCAUGUGCCUAAUAUUACUCUCCUCAGUAAUUAAUGCCAAAAUUCCCUUUCCCAUUUCAUUCUAACUAAAUUCAAACCCAAACUCUAAGGUUUCACCAUUAUUUAAGCCAUGUUCUGGUACCCCAUUUAUGAACACCCUAUUUCUCAAGAGGUGCAACAUUUGUGGUAUUGUUACAACAAUGGAGGAGGGUCAGAGUAAGGGUAGCAUUAUUAAUGGGAUUGAAGGAGUUGAGAGCAAAGGAAGUAGAGAUAUAAUGGUGGCAAAACCUGGUUCUUCAACUGGUGCAUGUGAUUUGGUUUUAAGGGUAUUGGCUUUGGUUCUUACUCUUGUGGCUACAAUAGUUCUUGGUGUGGAUAAGCAAACAAAGAUUGUUUCAGUUCAGAUUGUGGAUACUUUGCCACCUUUCCAUGUUCCUGCUACUGCUGAAUGGCAUUACCUCUCUGCCUUUGUGUAAGUCUUCUCCUUUUCUUACCCUCAGACUUAAGGGUUCCUUUACCAAUUAGGUUUCGAAGGAGAAUCACAAUGUUUCAAAGUAAUGAAAUACAAAUUUGAGAUAACUUUAAAGUCUCUAAUUUUUAUUAUUUCCUCUCCAACACCUAACUCGGAAGAAAAACAUAUGUUUAGAUUUAGUUUCGGAUGAAUCUUAUACCCAUAAACAUAUCCUUUAUCUACAUAAAACAUAAAUUCUAAGGUAUAAAAUGGAAGUUUUUUGAAAUAAGAGUUAAUUAGUUUUAGUUAUAAUUUUUUCACACCCAUUAGCAUGUAAUCGUGGCUAUAAAUAUUUGUGACGGAGACAAAUUGAAACAGCCCACAUUUAUGCAUUGGAAUAUAUAAGGUGUUUUAGCGGAGAGGUAUUUGAAAAUUAUAAAUUAUAAUAUUAUUAAUAAGCUAACUAAUUAAAUUAGCGGUGUUCAAUGUAAUUACCUUAUCAAGUAGACUCUAGGAAUAAAAUGAUGUAAAUGACUUUUUUUUAUAAAUAUUUUUUUUACUAAUAGAAGUACCAGGAAUACCAUGUAAAAUAGCUUAUGAGUCCCUCCAACAAAUUUAUUGGACCAACACAUAAUAAAUCAAUGAUUCUUUUUUUAUAAAAAACUUUCAUAAUCAAACAUAGUUAUUGAUAUAUGGAAAGUAGUAUGAACAAUUAGGCUCAUUUUUCCGUCAUACCCAUGCCCAUAUAACCCUAAUCUAAAUUAGGGUGAGAAGGACAUAUUCAUUUUUAAAUAAAAUAUGAAAUAUCCUGUGAUGUUCAUUCUAGAUAAACUUAAUUGUCUAAAUAAACUAAUAUAUAUAUAAAUUUAUACACAUGUCAUACAAAAUAAACAUUACAUAAUUUGCCUACAAAUAUAUACAAAUGUAUUUGUAUUUAUCAUAAAUAUAAUUAAAACAAUAUAUAUAAAAUAUAAAUGCAUGAUACAUAAUUUAAAUACAAAUUAAAAUACAAAAUGUGUAGUAGACAUGCAUGUAUAAAACACAAAUGCAUAAGUAUAAUAAGAAUGUAACAGUAUUAUCUUAUAAUUGAUAUAUAAAUAUAUAUAACAAUAAAAUAUAUUUUCUUACAUUGGAUAAAAUAAAUAUACAUUUGAAUAUUUAAUGUUCAAUAGCUUUUUACUUGUUUUUUAUCUUAUAUUAUUGAACUUGGUUUAUAGUGUUGCUAAUAAAUACCUUAAAGGUACUUUUAUGGAAUAUAAUUACAAAUAAGUAUUGGAAAAUUAAGUUUUUGGAAAAUUAAGUUUAACAUUAAUCUUAAUAUAUUGAACUCAUUAUUUCCCCACUUCCUUAAAUAACAUCUUAAAGGUAAUUAUUAAUAUUCUCAUAUCAUUCUACUGGUUUUGUGGUCAUUAAUAUCAUAUUGAAGCUUUGUAUAUGAUUUAGUAAAUAAAAGUCUUUUGAUAAAAACUACGGUAGGGUAAAAAUUUAUACACAAUCAAUAUAUUAUCUAUUAUUUAUUUGUAUUACGUUUUUUAGAAAGUGAUUAAUAAAAAUAAAUGAUAAUUGAUAAACUAACAUUUUAUAAAACUCUUACCCUUUAUAUAUAUAUUUUUUUUUUUCCUCUAAAAACUAUACAUCCUUGAACUUCAAUUUUCCUUUCAAGUCAUUAAUUAUUUGGGUUGCUGGCAUUCACACCCACCGUCGCCGAUAUGAUUGACUUUUUCUCAUACCCAAACCAGAUGUCAGCAUAUACUUACAAUGUAUAUGCAUGCAAAUUAUUAAUUUAAUGUUAAAUUAUAAAUAUGACUACUUUAUUUUACUUCAUAGAAAAGUCACCAAUUUCUAUCCUGAACAAUCCAAAAUUAACAUGUUUAUUUAUUUAAAAUUUCUAUAAACUAACAUAUAAUAUCUUAACCAAUUAAUUUCAUGUUGUAGCUACUUUGUGGUGGCAAAUGCAAUAGCAUGUGCAUAUGCAACUAUCUCUCUACUCCUAAGUAAAGUAAAAGGGUUAGGAACAUUGAUCAGCAUUUUUGAUGCAUUGAUGGUGGCUUUGCUUUUUUCUUGUAAUGGAGCAACCACUGCAAUUGGUGUAAUUGGGUAUCAAGGAAACUCUCAUUUGCGAUGGAACAAAGUUUGCAAUGUCUUUGGCAAAUUUUGUAACCAGGUUGCAGUAUCUAUUAUUCUCUCAUUGCUUGGAUCAAUAGUAUUCCUAUUGUUGGUGGUGUUGAAGCUUCGGAGGAGAAGUUAGAUAAUAAAUUAAACUUCGCACUUUUAUCAUCCACAACUUUGUUUUUUAUACAUGUGAAAGCUUUGCUAUGUAUUUGAAACUUAUUGAGAAAUGUACCCAAAAAAAGAGUGUCAAUUGUGCACACAAAAAAAUAAACUUAUUGAUGGAAUUGUUUUUCUACACCAAAUUAAACUAUCAACUAUGCCACAGUUUGAAUGCACAGAUAGCAGCACCCUAAUGCAGAUAUAAAGUAAAAAAUAAAGUAUAAUUCGUAUCAUUUUUAUUUAUGGUAUAAUCUUACUUUUAUCUUUACAAUUAAAGAAAUUUUUUUAUCUUGAGAAGAUAUUGUUCCAAAUACUAUAUAUAACCAUCAUUGCAUUGUCGAGCAUAUGGUACUAAUGCACAGUAAUAUAUUAUUCUUGUCCCAACUGAUUAACAUUUUCCUUGUAACCAAUGUUUUCUCUUUUCUUUUCUAUUUUAUUUUAAUGUUAAUAUAUGAAUAUUGUAUAGCUUACACAAUUAAAUCAACUAUUUAUUAAUUACUUUUAAUUGUUUUAAUAAAAAAUAUAUUAUAUAUCAAUAGAUUGGUAAUAGGUAAAUUACAAAUUAGAAGGGAAAUAAAAAAUAUACUAAUUAGUAUUGAAUAGAAGAUGAUGGUAUAGUUGCAUAAACUAGUUGGUUUGUCACAGUAUAUAUGCAUGAGAUGACAUGUACUUCAUAUUCAACUCUGGUAUAAUUGCAUAAGUUAGUAGAUUUUUGUUAGGUAUAUUAAAAGGAUGAUUAUUCUUAUAAAUUAAAGGAUGAAACAAUAUAUGAAGCUACAAAUAGAGCAUAGCGGAAAAAAUGGUUGAUUAUAUGACACCAAAAUUACACCCAUGCAUGCCAUAGCUCCAUCGCUAAACCAUAACAAUUUAACAACAAAAACUAACAGAAAGGGUUUCCAACCUUCAUUUAUAUCAACUUGAAUCCCUUUCUUUCUAUUAUCUUCCAUUGUGUUUCCCACAAUCAAUUUACACACACAUAAAUCAAAGAAACAAAAAAAUGGGUUGUGGGAAAUCUAAACAUGAUGUUGCUUCUGACAAUACCCUCCAGCGCAAGAAAUCCCCCCAGGCAGAAAGGGAAAAUGGGACAGAAACAAAAGACAAAAAGGUUGAGAAUGUUGUGAGUUCAGAAGUGGAACAGAAGAACAAUGAAAUUGUGAAAGAGUUUGGUGUUGGAGGUAAGGUUGAUGAGUCCAAUGAUGUCAAAGACAAAUCUUUUGAAGUGAAAGAAGAUAAGACAAAGGAAGAUGUUGUUGAUGCUCCUGGUGCUGUAGGAGAAGAAAAGAAAGCAGAAAACAAAAAAGGUGUGCAAAUAAUUACCCUUUAGAGAUGUUUGGUUUAUGAAUAUUUUUUCUGUGUUAGUUAAUAAUUGCAAAAAUGUUAAUAUUUUCUGUUUACAAAGAUAAUAAAUGUUGUUUUUGACUCCUAUACAAAUCUUUGGAAAUAAGGUGACAUUUUUAUUAUCACAUUGAAAAUGGAAAUAGAAAGGGUAAAACCAUGCAUCUCUCAUAAACCAAGCAAACAUUUGGGUUCUUGUGACUCAAGUUCACGUUCACUUAAUCAUUUCCUCAAAAAAUGAUUAAGCAUAAGUUGUUGGCUAUAAGUUAUAAUUUUCUCGUGUAUGUGUACAGAAGAAGUAGAAACCACAGACACAGUUCAGGGAAAGACUUCGACUAAGGAAGAAGAGACCAAAGACACAAAUAAGGAAGAGACAUUGGCUAAGGAAAAAGAAGAAAUCAAAGACACAAAUAAUAAGGAAGAGACAUUGGCUAAGGAAAAAGAAGAAACCAAAGACACAAAUAAGGAAGAGACAUUGGCUAAUAAAGAAGAAGAAACCAAAGACACAAAUGAGAAAGAGAGUUUGGUCAAGGAAGAAAAAACCAAAGAAACAAUUGUUCCAACCUAUGAAGGUGACAAAAAAAAUUGAAGGUGAUAAAUAUAUUUGCUGUCUUUAUAUUGAUCCUACAUUGUAUUUUCCUUUUCCCAAUUCUAUUUUUAUUUCCUUCAUCCUCAUACAAAUCACUAUAUAACACAUAUAUUCUGAAAGUUCUAUAUAUAUUUAUUGAUGUUGUUAUGCAUUCGUUCAUUCCUUUACUUUCUAUUCUUUUUGUGUACUUGUACAUAAUUACAAUGACUUAAUCAAUGACUUAAAAAGUUCAUCUUAAAAAUUACAGAAAAAAGGAGCUACUAACAACUUAACCAAGUUGAUAAAUAUCUUACUGAUUAUUCUAAUUUGUAUAGCAAUCUAAACCCAUUAGUUUUGGUGGAACUAUUUUGUAAGGAUAAAUAAAGUGUUUAGAUUAUUGCUUCAUAUUAACUAAUGUGCAAACAUACACAUUAGAGAAGGAAAACACUUAUAGAUAAUAAGUCAUUUCAUCUUUUAUUAAAAAUGUCUCCAACCACACUCACAUCAAUGCAAUUUCCUUCCAAACAAAAAAACUGCAAGUACUAUAAUAUUUAUUAAUUUACUAGUUAACGUGCCUACUUGAUUCUAAUAAACAGAGGGAAAUGUAAAGAUUCAAAAAAGUUUAUGGGAAAAGAAUAAAAAUGAAUUGAUUAGCAGAACCAUACUCUAUAUAUGAAAUAAAAAAACAGAGAUAUUCCAAGGAGAGACAAUACACUUAUACUCUAAACAACAUUAAGAAAUUUAAUUUAUCAUAUAUCAUGAUGUUUUAUCUUAAAGGUAAGUGAUGAGAUAAUAUGAAAAAUUAUAAAUGUUAGCUUUAUUAUUUAAACAUCAAAAUUAAAUUUGAUAACCUUUUCUUAUAAAAAAAAUUAUCACUAAAAUUAACGAAGCAAAAAACUAAAACUAACUUUCUCUUGCAAUGAUAUAUUUGGCCAGGAUAUUCGGUCUUGGUUUUGUGGACUUGGCCUUGUUGAAUUAUUAUGCUUCAAAAAUAAAGGAAAAUGCAACUUCCAAUGAUAUUUUUAUCCUUUUGAAUAUAAUGAAAUUACAUUUUUAUCAGUAAAAACAAAUGUAAAACAUGUACUUGCUUCUCUAUUAAUAAAAAUGAUCAUUAUUCUUGAAUUAUAUGGUAUGUAAGCUAACUUGGAAGAUCAUGAAUAAAAUUGAAUGCAAACAUUUUGAGUGGAUUAAGAAGUAUCUGAAAAUUGUUUUCUCCCAUGCCAUGAGAGAAGGUAACAAAUGUGCAACAGAUCAUGAAACUACUCUAUAAAACUACUCCAACUUGUUAAAAUUAGCAUAUUAUUGCAUCCUAUCCCAAAUUAGCAUAUUCUUAUAUGAUGAUAUUUGAAUUCACAAAGUAUUCUCUUAUAUAUUAGAGAAAAAAUAUAUGUUAGAACGUGUAUCAGUUUUAUAUAUAUACUAUUUGUGCAUCAUCCAUCAUUGAUAUUUAAUUGUUGUUGAAUUUAAAAAAAACAAGUAUUCUAAAUGAAUGAUAGAUGAUGAAGUGUAUCUGUAUAAAUCUUUAUACGUCAGUGUAUAGAUUUACAUUCUAUAUACUAUAUGUGAGAGAUCUACUUACUCAAAAAGUAAGUUUAAAAAAUUUGUUCUUCGUCAUUCAAUGAUUUAAAUUAGUAACUAAAUCUAAAUUAUUAUAUAUCUAUACAAUUAUGUUAUGGGGCAAAUUUAAAAAAUAGUAUUAGAUAUAUGUAAUAAAUUUGUACUAACCCAUGGUAGACACUUGCAAAAUAGAGUUAUACGACCCAAACCAUUCCGUAUAAGCGGGAACUUUUCCGUAACAGAUUCUCGCUUUCGCUUCCACUCUUUCUCUCAUUCCAUCUCUGCUCUCAGAAAAAAUAGUAUGGGAAGAACGUCCAAAUCUGAAGCUUCUUCUGCUUCCGAUGAUGAAUCACUAUCCGAUUCCGAGGAAGAGCAAAAUCACCAGAUCAAUGACCAAGACGACGACGGUCUCGAAGUGGUGGCUCGCUCAUCUAGCUCCGGCGACGAUGAUAAUAUCCCCGACGAUGCUGCUGAUGUAAAUGCAGAUACUGAUGAUGACAAUGAACAGGUAUAGCCACGAUUUCAUGAUCGUGCAUGCGUUUUUUCUAUCUUCAUUUCUAAUUUUGUUAUAGCCAGGGCUUUAGUUUUCAGGUUGCGUAGAAGUUGUUCAAAACUUUAAUGUUAUGUUUAGAUAUAGAAAAAUGAAUUGCUUCGAUUUUUCAUGUUAAGUAAAAUUGCAAUUGAAGCUAGAUUGUUGUAUUUCUCUGAGGUUGAGGUCGUUUUCUAUGGCUAAUGCAUUGUUGCUCGCAUUAUCCGUUAACGUUUUUUUGUUCAACUGUUUCGUUGUAGGAUGAAGGUAAUGUUGAUCCUGAAAUCAGCAAGGGAGAGAAGGCUAGACUAAGAGAGAUGCAAAAAAUGAAGCAGCAGAAGAUUCAGGAGUUGUUGGAUGCACAAAAUGCAGCUAUUGAUUCUGAUAUGGUGCGUGUAUGAUAACUUAACAAUGAUCAUGGAAUUGCUUUACCUUUUUAUGUUACGUUGAUUGAUUUCAUUGUUGAAUAAUUAUUGUUACGUGGAAUGAAGAACAAUAAAGGAAAAGGCCGAUUGAAGUAUCUCUUGCAGCAAACUGAGCUGUUUGCCCAUUUUGCCAAAUGUGAUUCUUCUUCCUCUCAGAAGAAGGCAAAGGGAAGGUAUUUUAUUAAGAUUCAUGAAUAUUAUGCAUUGGCAAUUCCCGUAGAUUAGUUUUAUCUCCAUUAUAUUAUUUCUGAAUUACAUUUUCAUAUCUUUGAAGAUCUUUCAAAGGGUUUGUGAAAUGUCUAUUUAUAUUCAGUAUUUGUGAAAACAAGCUAACAUUAAAUAUUUGAAGCACGGAUAGAGUUUCUACGUGCCCAAGUGUUUUAGAUUGCCUAGUGGAAGCUAUUGUCUCUUAAUUCUCCUGUAUAACUGACCAAUUUUUGGUAUGUUUUCCCCUUUGGAUUUAAUUAUCGCCAUUCUUACAAUUAUUUUAUGUCAUCGAAUAUUGUCUAAAUGUGUGAAAGAAUUUAUUCUGUAAUUUGUUUUAAAUGUUGUCUAUUUUAGGGGACGUCAUGCAUCAAAAGUUACUGAAGAAGAAGAUGAUGAAGAGUACCUCAAAGAAGAAGAAGAUGGUUUAGCAAGCACGCGGCUGUUGACACAACCAUCUUGUGAGUGUUAUUUGGUUAUUGCAAACCUGCAUAUGCAUAGUGCUUUAAUUUAGUGUUUAUUUCCUUUUUUGUGGUCAUGCUACUUCCCCUACUUUUCUCUGUUUUCAUCAUAGCACAUAAUCAUUUUCUUUCCUCCCAUUUUCUAUGUUUGUAUGGGAAUAUGUGGUCAUGUACUUCUGUUUUAAUUUUGGUUAAGAAUGCAUUGAUUGCAUAAACUUUCAGAGGACGUAAGAUUUGUGAAACAAUUUAAAUUGAUUAUUUUUGCAGUAUUAUAAGGCUUUUAUUCUGGUUGCUAGAUUUCUCAUAGGGGCUACAUGUGUUCUCGAUCGAAUACAUUCUAUUUUAUUUUCAUUUCAUUCAUGUACUCUUGCUUCUCUCUAAUGGGUUGUCUGAUACUAUCCGAUUCACAUUUGAUGGAUUGCACUUGAAUUUUGUUUACGGGAUGCUGUUCACCAAAUAUGCAGAUUCUUUCUAUUCAUAUGUAAUAUUUUAAAGUUUCAUUUCAGUUGAUUGUGAAAUUGCUUUUUUCUUCAUCAGGUAUCCAAGGAAAGAUGAGGGAUUACCAACUUGCAGGGCUAAACUGGCUCAUACGGUUGUAUGAGAAUGGUAUAAAUGGAAUUCUAGCAGAUGAAAUGGUAGGUUUAGGUGGCGGGCUUAGAGAAAAAUCUUGCUUAAAUAACUGCAUGUAAAUGUAAUUACCUUAGUAUGUGUAAUUUGAUAUGGAUGAGUUGAUUUAAAUAAGUCGUGAUAACUAAAUAUUUUGUUGAUUUGCAGGGACUUGGUAAAACCUUACAAACAAUAUCUUUGUUGGGCUACUUACACGAGUUCAGAGGAAUAACAGGCCCUCAUAUGGUGGUUGCUCCAAAAUCUACUCUUGGAAAUUGGAUGAAUGAGAUUCGGCGCUUUUGUCCUGUAUUACGUGCAGUGAAGUUCCUGGGUAACCCUGAUGAAAGGGUAAGGCUAGAAUUGCUAGACUGAAUCAUUUGCUAAGAUGUUACAAUUGAUGUUUUCUUUUGACACAUUUGACUGACGGUUUUAAAUCUGCAGAGACAUAUAAGGGAGAAUCUGUUGGUUGCUGGGAAGUUUGAUGUGUGUGUUACAAGUUUUGAAAUGGUAAUCAAGGAGAAGUCUGCUUUACGCCGAUUUAGUUGGCGUUACAUAGUUAUCGAUGAAGCACAUCGAAUCAAGAAUGAGAAUUCCCUACUGUCCAAGACAAUGAGGCUAUACAAUACAAACUAUCGACUCCUUAUAACUGGCACACCACUGCAGGUACGACUUAUUGUUAUACAUGAUGCUGAAAGAUGAAAGUAUGCAAUUUUGUGCAUUAGUUUUGUGAAGGGGAAAGAUUAAAAAGGGAGAAUUUGCUUUGAGCUUGGUAAUUAGUAAGAACGGCACUUAAAUACAAUUUUCAGAUUUUUUAAGUAACAACAGUUUGAGGGUGAUAAAUGCAGAUCUGGACGACAAGUAAUAAAUCCAAUAACAAAGUGUAUAGGGAUACACUGAAAAUAUGAUGCAGCAAUGGAUGAACCUUUAGUAUUGUAUAUGUAUAGAUAAUAUAUGUCACCAAUUUUGCAGUAUCUGCAUUAGAGUUUAUUUUCAAUCAUUAACAAUAAGGUUUUCUCAUUAAUGAUUUUAAGUUAUCUGUAACUGUGGUAAGAUUACAUAAGGAUCACCUUGUCAUAGUGGUGUGAACAGUGCCUAAACAAGGUAGGCAUCAGAGUUUGAAUCCUGUUUCCCAUAUUUAUUACACUUAUUUGGAAAAAAACAUUAAACCGGUUCAACCUCUCUAAGGUUCAUGGUCAGUUUGAUUGGUUCCGAGCGGUUCACUGGGUCAAAUAUCAGUUCUCUUUUUCUUCUUCCCGGUUACAGAACCUUGACAGGAUUGGCUUGUGGACUGGUUCACAGUUUAACCAGUAUGAUUUUCAUUAGGCACCUGUACUCUGUGGUCUCUUAGUAGGUUUUCAUAAGAGAUGAGGUGUUGGGAACCUGUUCACUGAGAAUUUCCAAGUAUAUUCGAAUAAUUAGCUGGUAUUAUUGGCACUCUUGUGUUUUUCCAACUUUCCCUUUCUUUGGUUGCAUGCAUAGUGAGUAUCCACAUGAGCAAUGACCUUGUUUGCUAUCCUUAAUGUUGCAGAACAAUCUUCAUGAACUCUGGGCUCUUCUCAACUUUCUUCUGCCUGAAAUUUUUAGUUCUUCUGAAACUUUUGAUGAAUGGUUUCAAAUUUCUGGUGAUAAUGACCAAGAGGAGGUUGUUCAACAACUACAUAAGGUAAGCUUUGAACCUGCUUUGUUUGUUGAGCACCUGUUAUGAUUGUCCGGUGCAAGGUAAUAUUUUCAUUUUCUGUCUAUUAAGGUACUCCGCCCUUUUCUGCUGCGAAGGUUGAAGUCAGAUGUUGAGAAAGGGUUGCCACCAAAAAAGGAAACUAUUCUCAAAGUAGGCAUGUCACAAAUGCAGAAACAGUACUAUAGGGCAUUACUGCAGAAGGAUCUUGAGGUUGUCAAUGCAGGUGGAGAACGGAAACGUCUCCUAAAUGUAGCAAUGCAGCUACGAAAAUGUUGUAAUCAUCCAUAUCUCUUCCAAGGUGCUGAACCAGGUCCUCCAUAUACAACAGGAGAUCAUCUCAUUACAAAUGCUGGUAAAUUCUGUUUACAUCACGAUUCACUUCAAAAGUUCUUUUUUAGAGUCAUCAAUAAGAUCUGAUAUUAUUUCAUUUUUAUUUUUUUUAAAUAUUUCGUUUGCAGGUAAAAUGGUUCUUCUGGAUAAGUUACUUCCUAAAUUGAAAGAGCGUGAUUCAAGGGUCCUUAUAUUUUCACAAGUUAGUUCUCUCUUUAAGAAUAUUAUUUUUGUCACUGAUGACUAUCAAUGCCUUAUUUUAUGCAGCCUGGUCUAUUUUGUUCUCAUUUUUGCUUAAUUUGUGGCUCCCGCAGAUGACUAGGCUGCUAGACAUACUGCAAGAUUAUUUGAUGUUUCGUGGAUAUCAAUACUGUCGCAUAGAUGGCAAUACUGGUGGAGAAGAUCGUGAUGCUUCCAUUGAGGCUUACAACAAACCAGGAAGUGAGAAAUUUGUAUUCUUGUUAUCUACACGGGCUGGAGGUCUUGGCAUUAAUCUUGCUACUGCUGAUGUUGUCAUUCUCUAUGAUAGUGACUGGUGAGUAUUUCAAUUGAUUGUGUCAUCGGCGUUCUGAUUUGUGAUUUUACCAUAACUAGUUGUUUGUUGCUAAUUUGUGGUGUUAUAACAGGAACCCACAAGUUGACCUGCAAGCUCAGGACCGUGCUCAUAGGAUUGGUCAAAAGAAAGAAGUUCAAGUUUUUCGAUUUUGCACUGAGGUUUGCAAUUUUACACUUUAUUAUUCUGUUCACCAUUUGCUAUGAGACCUAUGUUUUGUAUAUAGGAAGCAUAGAUACAAUCACCUUACAUAGAUUUGACAUGACAGUGGAUACAUCCAAAUUUAAAAAUCAUAUAACAUAACAUAGCUAAUAUAGAACAUAUAAACUUAAUUUUAUCAUUUAAACACAUACUAAACUAGAAUAAAGACAUUAAUGUUUUAGUUAACAUCACUAACUUUGGAUACAAUAAAUACAAUCAUUUAUCAAAUCAGUGUGAUAUCCUACUUGUAUUGGCCCAAUUCCAAAAUAUAAUUGAAAGAUGUAACCUAGAAGUAUCCAAAGAUUUCAAAACUUCAAAACAUAAUUGAAAGAUGUAAUCAUUGUUGUAUCCUACUUGUAUUGGCUCAAAUCAUUUGAGAAGUAUCUAACAUGUUACAACAGUGGUAUGAAAACCAUUUUGUAGAGUUAGAGCUUCUUUUUUUUCUGUUUGUCUUCAUAUCUCUUAUUAUGGUAAUUGCACAGUAUACUAUUGAGGAAAAGGUCAUUGAAAGGGCAUACAAAAAACUUGCACUUGAUGCUCUAGUGAUUCAGCAAGGGCGAUUAGCUGAGCAGAAGAGUAUGGAUUUCAGCAUCAUGUUUCUUAUUUCUUGCAAGAAAUAUGGAUUGUUUAAUAUGGUACAAUUGUUUUGUGUGCAGCGGUCAAUAAAGAUGAGCUACUUCAAAUGGUUAGAUUUGGUGCUGAAAUGGUUUUUAGCUCCAAGGACAACACGAUUACAGAUGAGGAUAUUGACAGAAUUAUUGCUAAAGGAGAGGAAGCAACUGCUGAACUUGAUGCUAAGAUGAAGAAAUUUACUGAAGAUGCUAUCAAAUUUAAGAUGGAUGACAGUAUGUAACACAAACAAUAAUAGCUUGUUUGUUGCCACUAAGUUUAGUUGUGUUUAAAUUCCUCUAUCCCUUCAACCAAAUGUUUUUGCUGCUCACCUGUGUGCUCUUCUUUUAAGUGGAGUUUUGUUGAGCUUUCCUUAUGUGCUUCAUCCUUUCAAAACCUUGUCCCUUGUGCACUAAUUAGUGUGCUAUUGUUCUUGCCUAUUCAUACAUUAAAUUUGGUUCUAGAUACAUACAAUCUACAACUCAUUUGUUUUUACUACUAUACUCUAUAUGUUUAGUGAAUAAUCUUUCGUUAUAACAUGCAUACAAACACAAGAUUUUGGCCCCUGUGGCAAUUUAAUGUAUAAUUUUUUAAACUAAAAUGCAAGUUCAAAUUUACUAAUAUUAAUAUUUUUGUUUUUGUAGCUGCUGAGUUAUAUGAUUUUGAUGACAAGAAAGUAAGCUGACAUUUUAUGUUGUUUUUGCUAGCUAUGAUGAACUCUUUUUUUGCUCAAUUGUGCAUCAACUCCCUUCCCUGUUCUCUUAUCCUUUUAACUGACGUUUGCUUGUAUUCUUUCUUGUUAAUGAAGGAUGAGAAUGAAUUUGAUUUCAAAAAAAUCGUGAGUGAUAACUGGAUUGAGCCACCAAAAAGAGAGAGGAAGCGCAAGUAAGGAUUGCCCUUAAUUCUACAGAGUCACUGACUAUUUUUUCAUGACCUGAUGUAUGAUCAUUUUUGGGUCUUCAACUCUUAGUUAUUCAGAGUCUGAGUACUUCAAGCAAACAUUGCGCCCAAGUGGUCCUACUAAACCAAAGGAGCCCCGUAUCCCAAGGAUGCCUCAAUUGUAAGCUGGUCAUGAAACAAUGUUUUCUUUGUAAUAGUAUUUUUUUACUUACAAUUUUAAAUUCUGUUGUCUUCAGGCAUGAUUUCCAGUUUUUCAACACACAAAGGCUGAAUGAACUGUAUGAAAAGGAAGUACGCUUUCUCAUGGUGGGUAAUAUAAACUUCGUAAUUUACAUUUUUAUGGUUUGGCCAAGCGUAUAAUUUGGGGCAUAUAUUAUUUAACAAAGUUUCAGCAAACACAUCAAAAGAAUCAGUUAAAAGACUCAAUAGAUGUUGACGAACCAGAAGGUACACAAGUGAUGUCCACAUUGUAGCUUUUUCCCUUUUUAUAUGUAUAUAAUUAAUUUAUAUCGAAUAUGUUUAGAGGUGGGAAAUCCGUUGACUGCUGAAGAGUUGGAAGAAAAGGAGCAGCUGCUUCAGCAGGCGAGCAAAUUUCUUUAUAAACUUGGCUUGUAUACAAGUCAAAAUUUGAGUUUUAAUUUCAGUAUUUGGUGAACAUAGGGAUUUUCAUCAUGGAAUCGGAAGGACUUUAAUACUUUUAUCAGGGCUUGUGAAAAGUAUGGCCGAAACGAUAUAAAAGGUCUUGCUUCUGAGAUGGAAGGAAAAACAGAGGAGGAAGUUGAAAGAUAUGCAAAAGUCUUCAAAGAAAGAUACAAGGAAUUAAAUGGUAAGUUAUAGCGAAUGUGAAAAUAAAUUAAUCUUUGUAGUAUAAUACUUUGCAGAAUCCAAAUGAGGGUUAUAUGUGUAAUUUAAAAUACUUUUUUAAUAAAAUAAAUUUGCUUGUUUUGUCUUGGUUCAUUUUCAAGUGUGUUGAUUUGCCAACUGAAGCUUGAAAUUAGUUUCUAAUUAAAAUAUCAGGUGUCUGUAAUUUAUGCAUUUUGAUUUGUCAUAUGUAGAUUAUGAUAGAAUUAUUAAAAAUAUCGAAAGAUGGGAGGCAAGAAUUUCUCGGAAAGAUGAGAUCAUGAAAGCUAUUGGGAAGAAGUUAGACCGCUACAAGAACCCAUGGCAAGAGUUGAAAAUUCAAUAUGGGCAAAACAAAGGGAAGUUAUACAAUGAAGAAUGUGACCGAUUCAUGGUGUGAAUUUCAUUUAUUUAUUUUAUGUCCAGUUCCUUAUUUUGUCUAUGUGUUCUAUAGCAGAAUAUCCUAGCCUUGUUUAACUUUGCUACAGUUUUUUUCCAGAUAUGCAUGGUUCACAAACUUGGCUAUGGGAAUUGGGAUGUACUGAAGGCAGCAUUUUGGAUGUCACCGUUGUUUCGUUUUGAUUGGUUCGUCAAGUCUCGCACAACACAGGAACUAACAAGGAGGUGUGACACCCUCAUUAGGCUGGUGGAGAAGGAAAACCAAGAAUAUGAUGAAAGGGAGAGACAAGCUCGUAAAGAGAAGAAACUUGCCAAGGUUUGUAUGCCUUUUUAACCCAAAAUAUUGUUAUUCUUUAAAUGCACUUUGUUAACAAUUAUUGUUUUACUCAUGUUUUGAUUAAUCUUUCAGAGUAUGACAACCCCAUCAAAGCGAUCAUCGACAAGACAAACAGAAAGUUCAUCUCAGCUGAAGCGCAAGCAGUUAACUACCUAACCUCGGUAUGUUUCCUUGCUAUAUAUGGUAUUAUAUGCCAUUGCCAUCAUCUUGAUUAGUUAGAACUUGCCAUGUUUGCGAUUUUACUGAACCUGAUGGUACUGUGGCAGGGUCAGAGGAAAAAAUAAAUGGACGUAUACCCUACAUUACUUUGUCACUAUGCCUCCACUCAUUUCAUCCACUUUAGUCUAUUUCAUUUCCACUUACAUAUAUUUCUCAUUUUUUAUUGGUUAUGAUGUGGUAAAUUAAUGCUUUUGCUUCACUCUCUCUUUUAUAAUAAUAUAUCAACACCAGAUAAUAAUCUAGCAUAAAUGAUUUCUGAAAGUGCCACAACAAAACAAAGUCAUGAGAUUGUGAGCAACAAUCAAUUUUAAGGAUGAUGGCAGAUUACAUAUAAUAAUAUACAUGCAUGAACAUGAGAUUGUGGGCACAGAGGAUGCCAUAACUUUCUCGAUUAUGUAGAUAUAUUGGAAUUUAUUCCAUCACUCAACUUAAACAUGCAGGAACUGGUGAAUAAUCACUCACUACCUUCUUUUUAUUCUCCUUCCUUUUUGCAAAAUUGUUUUUCAUGUUAGUGAAAUGGUUUUUCUGAAAGGCAAAAAAUGAGAUAAGAAGUAAGGUUAUAUAAGAUUCUGGAAUUUUAUUUAUGGGGUGAUAUAUGCAUAUAAAUUUACGGUAUAAAAAAUUAAACAUUUUUUAUUAAAAACUAGUUACUAAUGGAAGUUAAGGAUUAAACAAUCUUACAGAAUAUAAAUUAUAUUUCAAAGUCAUGUAAUAAUAGUAUUAUACCAUAACAUAAUAAAUAAGACAAAAAUAUUGUUUUGGACUAGAAUUUAGGAAAUGAUAAUAAAAGACUCGUACCUUUUAAUUUGAAGUAUUCUUUUUAUAAAUAAUGUACUCAUACAAGUAAGACAAAAAACCUAAAAUAUAUUUAUGGUAUAAUUUUUAUUUUAAGACUUUGUGGGGGCAAGAUGCCCCAACCUUCUAAGUCCAUACAAAAAUAUUCUUUAUUCUUAAUUUGUCACCAUAUAUUCCAAAGAUAUGUGCAAUUUGGGCUAAGGACCAAUUUCCUACCAGAUAUGAUGAAAACUUUGAGUAUGAUUAGCAAACUAAAACCCAAAACAAGACCAUAAUUAUAAAGUUAUAAAAUGCCUCUAUUUUUAUGCUCACACGAGUAAAUUUUUGCAUGUAUUGAAUGGUAGUAGAGGUUAUUUUCAAGACAUGUAAUGUUUCAUGAGAAACAUUUUAUUUUUUUAAAAAUCUGACAUAAAAGUUUCAUGAACCAUCAUAACUAUUCAUCAAUAUAUAACUUUCAUGAAUCUAGUCAUCAUUUCACCCACAUUGAAUAAAACUAUCUUGAUAACUUUUCAUAAAAUGUCUUAGUUAAAAGAAGAAUAAAAGAUGUAGCUAUUCAUUUCGAAAAAAGCAAAUCUUGCCAAAAUUCGGCUAUAUAUGCCAGAUGAAAUAUUCAUUAAGAUUAAAUACAAAAUAUAUAUGGUCCCAAAAAAUAUAGUCUGUCAUACAUCUACACAAGCAAAUUAAACAUCCUAGAAAUUUUCACGUGCAGAGAAACCAAAAGAGAAGACUUCAGCUUAAAAAUCAUCAUAAACAUUCCCACAGCCUCCUCAUUGUAUAGGAUAUAUACUAUACACACCCACAUCUCAGAAUCAACGUUUGUCUGUUUUGAAUUCAAAAUAUAUGGUUAGGGUAUGACCAAUACGUAUAUAUAUAUAGUAUCCUAGAUAAGGUAUGAAUCAGAAGACAAUCAUAUAGUAAUUAAUUUGAUAUUUAGUUACUUAGGAAGUUAUUGUUGUUAAUUAAGCCUAGAAAACUCGGAUAAAAUUACCUUCAAUACAAGGAUACUUGUGGGAAACCAAAAAAAAAUUAAGGCUAGAAAAACACAUUCUUGUAGUAAGGUGUCUAAGUAAUUAAAGGUAGUCCAAAAGUUAAUCAAGUUGUUAGUUGAGUUAAGCCAUUUAAAGAUCCAGCCUCUUAUACAUAGAUUAUGUAAUUUCAAAGUUGAGAAUUCGGUGAAGACAAUAAUUCAAUGAAGUAUAUCCAGAACAUGUCUCCUAAUGUCUUUUCAACAUGGGAUUAGAAUUCUGAUCAUAUCAGCUUUUUGUCCAUGGAGGUGAAUUCCUACCACACAAACUCUUCAAUGCUGCAUAUAUACCUACACAAUCUAUUCCUAUUGUUAUCCUUCCCAUCCAACCCCAUGAUUUAAGCAAAUUGCAUCAACAAUGAAUUGCACUGCCCAUUGACCCAUAGGAGGAUAAAUUAUAUGAUUUAUAAGUCUACCUUCCACAAUAAUUUGAUUCUUACAUACCCUUUGAUUUUUUCCUAAAUAUAAGAUUAAACUAAUAUUAACACUCUAGUGAGUAUUCUGGUGUAUUAUAGUAAGCCGCAGGGUACAAGAAAAAAAGGUUUAUGAUAUUCUUAUAACAAAACUUAAAAAUAAAUUAGGUUCUGAUAAGGCCAUGUUUGGCUUUCACUGUUGCCAUUGCACCAGAAAGUGAGAAAUAUGUAUGAUGUUUUGAUUAAAGCCAAAGUGCUCCAGCAUCUCUAAGCUUUUUCUUGAGUGAGCCAUUGAGGUGAAGGGUUAUGACCAUGUUAGCUGAACCUACAAACUUGCCACCAAUGAAUACUGCAGGCACAGAAGGGUUGCACCCUAGUCUCAUGAGACACCACUCUAUUUCCUUCCCCCUUGACUCUUCAUCUAGCUCAUAUAUUGCAGGACUCACCCCAAACUCAUAGAAUAGUCUCUUAAUCGCAUGACACAUCCCACAUGAGCUCUUGCUGAAUAUCACCACUGCCUUUUGUGAUAUCAAUUUUGCCACACGAUCCAUCUUUAUCUUUAUUGUGUAUCUAUGAUAGUUUGAUGUGAGAAAAGAGAUAUAGAUCGAAAAGUGUAAGUAUAAAAGAUGUUUAAUUAGAUUAUAUGAUGAAAGGAGAAGUAGAGGAAGUUGGGCUGGUUAAGUUUAAUAGUUUGUGAUGUCAUCAAGGGUUUCAUGGCUUUGUGUAUUUAUAUAGGGAAGAGUAAGGACAUGUAUGAAAGGGGUUAAGCAAGGGAAAGAAAAGAUGGAUGAAUAGAUGAAGGUUCUUUAAAAUAGUUGCCAAAAAAUACCCUUCUUUGAUUUCGACUUGUGUGGUAUGUUAGUUCUAACUAUCCAUAUGAUGUUUCAGGUAAAAACUUCUAAACUUGAGAAUAACAUUUAUGAAUAAUAAUUUAAAGUCGUGGACUUCUUAUUAAGAGACUUCGCAUGAACAACGAUAAUGUCUAAGAGGAGAUCGGAGUUCUUAUUUCAAUUUUUAUCUAAUAAAUAAAAUUUUAUUUCAUUCUAUAUAAAAUAAUAAAAAUAUUAUUACAUAUUGUUUUUUUCCUUGAAUGUAUAAAACAUAACACAUAACAUCAAUAUACAUAAGUAUAUGUUAGGGUUUUGGUAUCCAAGGUAGUUGGAUGAGAAAAAGAAUAUGAAGUUAGGCAAUAAAGAUAAGAGUGACCCCAAAAAAAGAAUGUCAACUAUGGUAUGGAUAGAGGAAUGUAGAAAGUGGGAAGAGCAUGAAGAUGUGACUCAUAGCGGAUACUAAUAGUUGCAUCCCACCUCAUAAGUAUAUGUAUGAGGUGAUCAAUAACUAACUAGGGCUUUUUGGUUCAAGUGUACACUCACUUUAAUAUUUGUUCUUUUCAUUUUUUAUCUACUCUUUUAAUAACUAUCUAUUGUUAGAACCAUUUCGAUAGAAUUUUGUGUUUGGAAAACGUGUGUGAAGGAAUUGCAAAUGAUAAAAAUGGGAGAGAUAUACAUAAUAAAAAGGGUAUAUAUAUAUAUAUAUAUAUAUAUAUAGUUUAGUUCAACUCAACUACAUUGUUUAAGAGAACUGCAAGAAAUCCAUGUGAUAAGUUUUCAAUUUUUUUCUUUUAGGUUGCCGAGGCUGCACGAAAACUCGGAAUCUUUCUAAUUUCUGAUGAAGUUUAUGCCCACAUAGCUUUUGGAAGCAAUCCAUUUGUGCCCAUGGCAGUGUUUUCAUCAAUAGUGCCUGUUAUUACAAUCGGCUCUUUGUCAAAAAGAUGGUUUGUUCCUGGUUGGAGAUUUGGUUGGAUAGCCACAUGUGACCCCAACGGAAUUCUAAAACAAACUGGGGUUGGUUUUUAAGUUUUGCUCUAAGAAAGGUUACAUGUAUAUUUAAAGCAUUAGUAGAAUGAAAGCUUUUUCUUCUCUUAGAAAUCCAGGUAUUUGAUUGUUACACUAUAUGAAUUAUGAACUAAGCAAUUGUUUAAUUUCUUUUAUCAGAUUUUGACACUAAUCAAGAGUUAUCUGGAGAUCUCAACUGAUCCUCCUACCAUUAUCCAGGUAAAUAAUGGAAAGCUAUCAUAAAGUAAAUAGUAAAUACCAGAGUAACAAAAAAUACUAAAAAGAACGGUUCAAUGCACAAGGCUCACACCUAGUAAAGUAAUAUAUGCAGCCUUACCCUCUUACCCUGACGAGUGAAGAAGUUGUUUCCGGAGCAACAGAAAAUUACUGUUGUAAAAUAUUACAUCCUUGAUUUCUUUGACCGAAUAUAUAAACACUCAUAAUUUAUAUACAUGCUUGUACUUUGUAUGCCCAAAUACUUUUUAUCUUUUUGGCAUUCUGUUUUCCCAUAAAACAAAUUUUGACUUGUAAUAUUUACAGGCUGCAGUGCCUGAAAUCCUUAAGAGAACAAAAGAAGAGUUCUAUGCAGAAAAUCUUAAUAUAAUGAGGGAGGGUGCAAACAUAUUUUAUGAUAGAUGUAAGGAGAUACCUUGCUUGAAAUGCCCUCACAAACCAGAAGGGGCAAUGUCUAUUAUGGUAAGUAGCCGAAAGAGUUUAAAGGUUUUAAUAAUGCUAUGAAUUUAUCAAUGAAUCAUCUUUAAAGAAUAUCAAUUAAUGGUAAAUUGAAUGGAGCAGGUGCAGAUUAACAUUUCACAACUUGAGGGCAUUAUUGAUGAUGUAGACUUCUGUGUCAAGCUGGCCGAAGAGGAAUCUGUACUACUACUUCCUGGUAAGAAUUUUCUCCGGUCACCGGAAUCUCUGAUCCAUCAAUUUGGUGAAGAAAAUAAAGUUAUGAUGAGAAUUCUCUUCAUCUUCUAUAAUGCUUGUAGGUGUCAGUGUUGGACUAAAGAAUUGGCUUCGGAUUAGUUUUGCAGUUGAACGUUCUGCCCUCGAAGAUGGUCUUACCAGGAUAAAAGCAUUCUGCCUUAGACAUGCUAAGAUGUCAUAAAAUCAUGCAUGGAAAAUUAAGAGAUCUGAAAAAGUAUAUGUGUUGGCUCAUUUGGUGUGUUAUAUAUUAUAGACCAUUUAUUUGGCCAAAUAUGUGGAGAUAAUUGCAUUUAAGUUUAGGAUUCAGUAUGCUAGAUUUAAAAGUGAAUUAUGGUAUUCCUACUAUUGCUUGGUUGCAAUGGUGGACUGUUGUUUAUUGUGGUUGUUAUUGCAUUAUACUUUUGAACAUUGGUUAUGAUUUUGGUACCUUUAUCAAUUGACAUUAUUUAAGAUUUAGUUGUUGUUAUUGUUCAAAGAAAGGAUGAAACGAAGAAUGAAAAACACAACUUCUUCUUGAUAGAGAAUUUCUUGAAUAACAAGACAAUAAGGAAAAACUUCUUGAUCUUUAUUAGAAAAGCUUGAAUUGAUUAACAAAGAUGAAACUCUGAACUUAUAGGCAAGGGAAAAGAAAAACAGAAUAACAAACUUGCCUAACUACUUAAACUAACAAAUUAGCACGUGUUACAUAUGGCAAAAAUCACUAAAACAAUGAUAACUUGGGCUACAAGUAAAGGAAAGCCCAUUAAUCUUAAGCCUUUGAUUCUACUUGGGAUGUAAUAAUUGGUCUUGAUUUGAGUUUGAUGAGUGCCUUAAAUGACCCUGCCUUCAUGGUAGGCUUGAGAAGCCUGAUGUGUGUCCAAGCCAGAAUUGAUUGGUCUUGAUUUGAGUUUGAUGAGUGCCUUGACUGGCCCUGCCUUCAUGGUAGGCUUGAGAAGCCUGAUGUGUGUCCAAGCCAGAAUUGAUCUGGUGCGCCCUGCCUAGGUGUUGGUGCAUCUGUUGGGCACUGCUCUGGUGCGCCUUGCUCUGGUCCUGGCAGGCUUGAUGCGCCUUAGGUUGGCGUUGAUGCACUUGGUGUGCCUGGGCGUGGCGCUGAUGCACCUGGGCGUGGGACUGAUGCACCUGGGCGUGGCACUAAGGCNNNNNNNNNNNNNNNNNNNNNNNNNNNNNNNNNNNNNNNNNNNNNNNNNNNNNNNNNNNNNNNNNNNNNNNNNNNNNNNNNNNNNNNNNNNNNNNNNNNNUAUAUAUAUAUGAGGAAUAAUGAGAAGUGUGGUGAAACAAGCAAAAAAUAAUUUUAAUGAAAUUCAUUAAUACAAUUGAUACACAUGGCAGGUGAUUACUAUAAUACAUGAAGGUUUUUAAUGCUUAAAAUUAGCCAUUAAAAAAAAGAAAAAAAUGUAUGCACUGACAGUGUAUGAGUUUUAUACACUGUCAUUGUAUCAUCACCAUUAAUUUUUUAUUAUUAUUGACUUUUCAAAAAAAGUAAUCCAAAUGAACGGUGGAUGAUAAAAUACAUGUGUAUAAAUCUUUACACUAUCAGUAUAUACAUUUUACAUCCAAAUUAGAUCAACAAGUGCUUUUUCAACUAGAUAGGUACAUUGUAUUAUGCUUAUGGCUUAAGGUCGUAAACAGUGUUAAGUUUCUUUGAGGUAAAGAUAUAUGCUAUGCCGCAAGCAAGGACAAAUCAUAAAGAUCGUGAGCAUCAUAGGUAGGCAAUCUUAAUAGAAUUUCAGAAUAUUUUUCUUGUUAUAAAUAGUGUAUAAUGAACAUUAUAAAUGGCAAAAUCUUGUGAUUAUCUCUAUAUAUUCAUCGAUGCUUUAUUCCACAAUCGAAAAAUUGUCAAACAAAUUGAGAGAAUUUUCCCUUUCAGUUGUGCUUUUGGGAGGGUUUGGAUACUUCAUAAGAGUUAAGCUAUUCAAUUAUCUUUGUCUUCUAUCGUGAAAAGUAUUAAUUAAUUAGAAAAGGGAAAAGGGCACGUAAAUAACUUGAGUAAUGUCAUAUGUAAAAUUAAAAUUAAAAAGUUUCUUUUAAAAAACAUAAAAUUACUUUCGUCUUCACUUAUGUUCCAUUUUUUAUCUCUUAUCUUAAAAAACAAAUCUAUUCAAAAUUCAAAUGGGCAAUUAAAAAUUUUGAUGCCUUGAUUGUCAAAAUAGUUGUUAACUUAAUUAUGCUUCUUCCUUUCUCUUUCUACGGGAGAAAAAGAAUAUAUAUCAUAAGUUUACAAUCUUAUAGUUAUAAUUAAGAAAGUUGACCUACAAGGUGUUAGUAUAGUGAUAUAAGGUUUAUCUAAAUCUAUAGUAUGACCAAAAUGUCAAAUGUUCGAUUCUUAUAAACAAUAUUGUUGGGAGUGACAAUUACACAUCCUAAAAGAGAUUAGUCAUUUACUUAAAGGGGUUAUAGAAUAUCCUUAGUAGUACAAAAAAAUUAGGAAGAUUCAUUAUAUUAUAUAAGUGAUUGUUACACAAGAUUAAUCAUAAAGAACAAAGAAUAAAUAUGAGAAUAAGAUAAGAAUGUUUUGUCAAAGAAGUUUGACAAAUUGUAAAUAUAUCCUCAAAAACAUUAAAUAACUACUCCGAUAUUAGUAGAAAAUAAAGAUUAUGAAAUUUAACAUACCUAUAUCCCCAAAACCCAUGAAAUGUUUCUAAGUUGUGCACAUUGUAAUAAGAAAUAUAAAAUGUUGAUUUCUUUCAUCUAUUCUUAUGUUAGAUAUUAUUGGACUUCAUAUAAUAAUAUAUUUUAAGUAUCCUAACAUAUAUAAUUUUAUAAGAUAAUUGUGUAAUUUACUUUUCAUGUUAUUACAUAUUUCAUCAUAUAGGAUAAGAAAAAAAAUGUUAAAAACAUUGUCCAAAAUGAAGAAUUGAAUAUUGUACAAUACAAUUAUGAUGGCAUAUUGAGAAAUAGAAAGAAAAAAAAAGAUUACAUGAAUUUAGCAUUAUCAUAUUUCAAUUGAUGUGAAGUACUCAUUAUGGGAAAAGUUAUGCAAAUUAUCAAAUACAUCAAUUAUUAUUGUUAUGAAAUACGUAAUAAGGAAGUUGUAAAUUAGCCGAUAAAAAAAAGGAAGUUGUAAAUUGUACAAUAGUAAUUAUAAUUAUAGAUAAUUAAGAAAAUGUGCUGCUUAUUUCUUUUUAACUUUUUAAUUUUCAUCAUCUUUAGUAGCAAAGAGAAUAAAAUAUUUAUGUAGUUCAGCCGCCUAAUCUUAGUGCAACUUCUUAAAUAAAAAUUUGUAUUGAUAAAAAAAACUAACUGGUUUUAUCAUGAAAUAAAUAUAUUAUUCCCAUCUUAUUCAACUAUCAUUUUUUGUUACUAAGAAAUACCAUUUUCUGUAAGAAAUUAAAUCAUUUUGAGUAUGUGACUAAUUUUACAAGUAUUAUUAUAGUGAAUCAAAUCUCAAACACAAACAGCAAAAUACUACAUGCAUGUAUGUUGUAUUUGCCCUAGCUGUAAGUAUGUGAGCAUGCAAGUUACGUAGAGUUAAAUGAACCAAAGAAGUAGCCCUUGGCUUCUACACAUAGCAAGUUAACCGAGACAAUACCUUAACUAAAUCUAUGGGAAUGAGCCCUCUACCAUUGAUGUACGCAUUUACAGCGAUUUUUUCUUCUUUUUCAGGUGGACCAACAUACAAAUGUUGGGUUUAUUCAAGUGUGAAGUCUCACAUUGGAUAUGCAAGGAAGAGUGAAAGAGUUUAUAAGAAGAAAAGACACAUGGAACUAAUGUCUCACUUAUGACUCUUCACUCUUUUCAUACCCAUGUAACAAUGGAACUCCCCGGUCACAGUCUGGUCCAACACCAAAACGUGGCACCAUUUGACACUAUAUAAACACACAAGGGUAUAUGUGAAAGCGAAAUGCGCGACCAAGCAUCGCUUCACUUGCACCAUCUAGUUGGUGACGAACAAAAGAAUCGUAUGCAACAUAUAAAUUAAUUAACAAUAUAGAAAACUCGAUCUUAUACACAUAUUAUCUUUCAGGUUAUUAUUUUAUAUUUCAACUAUCAUAAUAUAGAGCUUUAAUCAUAUUCCCCUUUCUAGAAUUGGAUGCGAAUCUAUAUAGCCAAAAGGAGGUCCCAAUUGGAUAAAUUCAACUUUUCUUCCAGCGCAGAAAAUUCCUCAAAGAUAGAUAAGAGACAACAGAAACUUCCAGUAUUACAAGCAAAAAUAUGUAAUACUUUCUUGCCUAUGUACAUGCAUGAAGUUAACAUGUGAAAUAUUUAUGAAGGGAUAAAUAUUAUGAAACUGUAGCAAGGACUCGUUUUAAAUUGUUUCCGUAUGCAUGCAUGGAUAAAGAAUCGUUGGGUAGUAAUAAAGUAGAUCUACUUUAAUUUGGAUCAAUCACUUUCAACAAAUGAGAAAACAAAAAAUUGAAGCCGACCCAAAUAUCUAAUCAAUGAUUCUCCUAUAUUUUCUCCUUAGCCUCUUUUGCUUAUCCACAAAUGCAACCGUACAUUCCUCAAACCCCUAUAUAAGUAAGUCACAUUUGGCUUUAGCUCAAUCACACCAAAACCCUCAACUACACAUUCAAUUCCUAGCUACAUUUGCUUAUAAUUGCUUAGCACAUUCUCAUUCACAAACUUGCUAGCUUUUCCAAUUCCUACUUCCAAAUAUAAUACUUGACAUUGUUCCAUAUUAGGCUACAUUUGUGAGCUUGUGUAGCACAAUGGACAGGGUGACAAAGAUGGCAUCAGAGAGACCUGUAGUGAUCUUCAGCAAGAGCUCAUGCUGCAUGUGCUACACCAUCAAGUCCCUUUUUGGUGACUUUGGGGUGAACCCAGCUGUUCAUGAACUUGAUGAGAUACCAAGAGGUAGAGACAUUGAGCAAGCUCUUUCAAGGCUAGGCUGCAAUCCGGCCGUGCCCGCCAUAUUCAUCGGUGGCGAGUUUGUUGGUGGAACCAAUGAAGUCAUGACCCUUCACCUUAACCGCUCCUUGAUCCCAAUGCUUAAAAAAGCUGGAGCUCUUUGGCUUUGAUCACAACUAUAUGACCUUGUCACACAACUUAUCAGCCACUACUAAAUAUGUUUGGUAUAUCUAUCUAUAAAUAUAUAUAUAUAUAUAAGGCGAAGAUCGAUAUAUAUGAUAUAGAGUUUACGGAUAUAAUAAUAAGGCCAACUUAACUGAUAGAGUUAUAUUACCCUUUUUUUGGGUGAUAAAGACUUUUUUUAUAACUAUGUAAUGUUAUCCAUUUGAUAACUAUAAUAUAUCAUAUGGAGUUUCAGUCUAUAAAAGUGUAAGCAUUAGGUCAAUGAAUAAGUGGUUUAUCAGCAUUUUCACAAAACUAAUUUCAAGUUAAAUGUUGAUUCCUUAAUAAACUUGCAUAGCUAAAAGUUCACAGGGAAAAGAUGGAGAGAUCGACAAUGUUGUUCCUUUAAUAACUGGAAAUGUCAAAGGAAUCAUCACUAGUUAGUUAGUUAUCUGAAAGAGAAAGAAAUCUUACAUAUAUAAGUGAAUUGUGUUACUUUCUAACUUGUAAAAAGAAUAAUACUAUUGGAAUUAUGAAUUCUAUAAAAUAUUAAAAGUGGAAUAGAAGAAAAUCUUCAUAGCAAAAUGAAAUGGCAUAUGUAAUAGUGGCGUAUGUGAUUCGCUAGAAACUGGUCAUGUUGUAGCACUAAGUUGAGGAGGGACAAAUGCACAUAAUGGAAUAAACUCAAUAGUAUAUGUGAAUGAGACAUAUGCAUAAACAUUAUGCACAUAUGUUACAUCACAUCAUCCAAUAGUUUAUAUACCAUACUUAGAGAAAAGACAAAGGGAGGAAAUUAAUGGACCAUGUACAUCACCAUGGACCAUGCCUCCUGGCGAAAAUUGUGGAUCCAGAGUGGACAUGAUGGAAGAAUAACAUGAUAGAACAUUAUAACAUC
rnacentral:lncRNA from 1 species